rnacentral:lncRNA from 1 species
AACUGGCAGGUGAGUUCCCAUCCUUGGGUUCACUCGAUGCUAACUUCUACUACCAUCUAAAGAGACUGAACAUGAUUCAACUGGCUGUACAUGGACUAAAUAACUGACAUCCAUUGACUGACGGAGUAGUACUAUUAUCUGAGAGUUAACUAAUAUCAUAAGAUUUUUAAUGUUUCCUGAGUCACAUGACUGACUGAGUUCUAUAGAGUAUAUCUUGACUAAGAUUUAUCGUUGCACAUGACAUGGCUCUGGGCACACAACUAUAUUUUUUGGGUACGAAUACCCUCAGGACUUGAUAGAAGGAAACUGACACAUAUGACAUGACUUGAUCACAAGAUUAGAGUCCACAAUUUAUAACAUUAUGAGUAGGGGAUAGUAUACUUCAUGUAUUUAUUCACAUCUCAACAUGGUAGGGAGAACAUGGAUACAUUUUAUGAAUAUAAUUCAUAUUUCCAUUAUCACACAUGCUUCAUACCACAACAACAACAACACAUAAAUAGCAUGGAAAUUUAUAUAGAAGAGUAUAGCUAACAUGGACUUGUCAUUUAGAUAUCAUGGAAUCAUGUAAUUAUGGGUUUCUAGCAUCCUAGGCAUUUUAUCAAACACCUUGCAUGCAUUCUUUAAAGCAAAGGUGGAUUUUAUACUUGCAUCACAUCAAACCACCUAAAGUUCAUGUUUUUCAACUAACAACCACAUAUAUUUCAUGAAAACAUCUUUAGAUAUCAUUUUGAAACUUAAAAAACAAUCAUCAACAUGUACAUGCUUAUAUCACCACAAAAAGUUUACAAAAUAACAUUUAAAAACAUGGUUCUUGAGCUCUAUGUACGGAUUGGAUCCAUAGAUGAACACUACGCAUACCUUAGAUUAAGAAUUCGUGGAAUCUAUGGUUGAAUUUGCUUGAAGUUUGAAACCCCAAUGGAAACCCUAGACUUGUUCUUGACUAUUCUUGAGUGAAUUUUGAUAAAAUUAAUGUAAAGGGAUUCUUUGGGGACUCAAUCCCGUGUUUAAAAAGUAUAUAUAGGGUUUUGGGAAGUUACCAUAUUACCCUUGACGAGUUUAAAAUGAAAACUAAAAACUACGCAAAAUUUAUCCCAAUUUAGGGCCCCGGGGCAAUGCGGAGCUUGGUAAAAUACCAAUUAUUGUGACCUAGAAGCUUGGCGCAAAGUGGUGCUAUUGCGGAGGCUUUCUGAAAAUUGACGAGUGCCAUUUUGCCUCUGGCGCAAUGAGCCAUGCACUGAAAUGGCAUUCGUCUUACAACAGAAACUUAAAAUAGCCAUAACUUCUUUACCGGGUGUCCGUUUUAGGAGAAUUUGGUAUCUACGGAAAUCUUAUAAAAUUAUCUAUCCGUUGGUAGGUCAUGGGAUCAAAAAUUUGUAGUAUAAUGAGAGAUAUUCUCAUUUGAAUUUGAUGAUACCAAUAUCCUUCUCAAGAAUUCAAUCGGUAAGGAAUAUGUUGAUUCACACAAUAGCUAGGACAUAUUUGAGACCUUAACUCACAUCAACCUUGAUCAUAAAACUACCAAGGAACCAUGAUGUAAUAUGCAUGAUCUUGAAACAUGGAGCUAAUAUUGAGUUGGAUUUUUCAGGGUAUUACAAUAUCUCCCCCUUAAGAACAAUCAUCCUCGAAUGAGACUUAACUGAGGGGGGAAAAUGAGACAAGCCGAACAUGAACUGAACAUGAAGGACUGAAACAUGAUCUCAGGAAUGACAUGCUAAACAUAAUUAACUCAUGCAUAUCUGACGCAUGGAUAACUAGUACAUGGAUGCAUAACUAAGCAAUCUGAUAAACUGAGCUUCUCAAGAUGAGAAUGCAUAUCGGAUGCAUGACCUUAUAAUUGAACUGAUACAUGAAUGCAUAACUAAGGAUGCAACGGUAAUAGAUACCAAUUUUAAACUGGGGACAUGAACAUGAAACUAAAUAAGCUUAAGGAGAACUGUUACCUUAAGCUUGAUCUGAAUUUGCGGGGAAGAGGUGAGGAUACUUGGUACGCAUAUCUGUUUCUAUUUCCUAAGUAGCUCCCUCAUGAGACUGCUUUUCCCAAAGAACCUUAACUAGAGGGACUUCUUUGCUCCUUAAUCGAGUCUGAUAGUCUAAUAUUUUGACUGGAAUCUCUUUAUAAGAGAGGUUGUUCUGAAUGUCAAUGCUCUGAACAGGGACUACAACUGUUGGGUCACCUAUGCACUUCUUGAGCAAAGAGACAUGGAAGACUGGAUAAACUGAGGCUAGAUCUAAAGGCAAUUCUAGCUCAUAAUCUACCUUGCCGAAGCGAUUGAAAAUCCUAAAGGGAACGACAUAUCAGGGACUGAGUUUCCCUUUCUUGCCGAACCUCUUCACUCUCUUUAUGGGAGAGACCUUAAGAUAGAUAUAUUCAUUGACCUUGAACUCGAGAUCCUUCCUACGAACAUCUGCAUAAGACUUAUUUCGGCUCUGAGCAUCCCAGAGUUUCUCUCUGAUCAACUGAACUUUCUCUAAGGCGUCGAAUACUAAGUCAGGACCUAUGACUGAGGCUUCACUAACUUUGAACCAACCGAUCGAAGAUCUACAUCUCCUACCAUAGAGAGCUUCAAAUGGAGCCAUCUGAAUACUGGAAUGAUAGCUAUUGUUGUAUGCAAACUCAAUCAAGGCCAAGUAGUCAUCCCAACUUCCCUUAAAAUCAAUGGCACACGCCCUUAACAUAUCUCUAAGAGUCUGAAUGGUCCUUUCUGCUUGACCAUAUGUAUGAGGAUGAAACAUUGUACUGAGAUGAACUUAGGUACCGAGACCCUUUUGGAAUGCUUUCAAGAAAUGAGAGGUGAACUGGGUACCUCUGUUUGAGAUGAUAGAUGAGGGAACACCGUGUAAUCUGACCAACUCCCUAAUGUAGAAUUUUUCAUAAUCCUUGCCUGAAUAGGAGAUAUAAACUGGAAGGAAAUGGGUUGACUUGGUCAUUCUAUAUACAAUGACCCAAACUGAAUCAUGCUGAUGAUGAGUUCUAGGUAAACCCAUCAUAAAGUCCAUGUUCACUUCUUCCCACUUCCAAGUAGGAAUGGUGAACUCUUGCAUAGAACCACUAGAUUUUUUAUGCUCUUUCUUAACCUGCUGAUAUGUAGAUCACUUAGCCACAAACUCUGAAACAUCACUCUUCAUCCCACUCCACUAAUAGAUCUCUCGCAAAUCACAGUACAUCUUAGUGGCCCCUGGAUGAAUAGAGUAUCACGCACCAUAAGCUUCUGCAAGAAUUCGUUGUCCCAAGUUAUCUACACCAGGAAUGCACAAACGACCCUGACAACGAAGAACACCAUCUCCCCCUUGGGAGAAAACCUAAAAUUUCUAAUUUUGAACUGACUCUUUCAGCUUGACAAAGCUAGGAUCCAUGUCUUGCUUUUCUUUCACCUCAGAAACUAGAGAUGACUUUGAACUACUCUAAACACAUACACCACCCUUUGAAGAGUCGACUAAGCGAAUGCCUAGUCUGGCAAGCUGAUGGAUUUCCUGAGUUAUCUUUUUUUUUCUAUCCUUAAUGUGAGAAAUACUGCCCAUGGAGAGUCUAUUGAGAGCAUCAGCCACAACGUUGGCCUUGCCCGGAUGAUAACGGACACUCAUGUCAUAGUCCUUCAAUAGCUCUGACCACCUUCUCUGAUGAAGAUUGAGAUCUUUUUGAGAAAAGACAUACUGGAGACUCUUAUGAUCUGUGAAGAUGUCUACAUGAACUCCAUAAAGAUAAUGCCUCCAAAUCUUCAAAUCAAAAACUACGGCUGCUAACUCAAGAUCAUUAGUAAGAUAAUUCUUCUCAUGGGGUUUUAACUAUCUGGAGGCAUAGGCUAUGACCUUACCAUGCUUCAUGAGGACACAACCUAAACCCACUCUGGAUACAUCACAAUAUACUACAAACCCAUCUGAACCAUCUGGAAGAGCUAUAACUGGAGCUAUAGUGAGUCGAGUCUUCAAUUCCUGUAAACUCUUCUCGCAUGAAUCUGACCACUGAAACUUGACUUUUUUCUGAGUUAAUUUAGACAUAGGAUACGUAAUAGAAGAAAAUUCCUCGACAAACCAUCUAUAAUAGCCAGCCAAACCCAAGAAAUUCCUGAUACUUUUUGGAGAUACGGGUCUGGGCAAGUUUCUUACCGCUUCAGUUUUCUGAGGAUCUACUCCAAUGCCCUCACCGAAAAUAAUAUGGCCAAGGAAUGCUAAUGAUCUUAGCCAAAACUCGUACUUACUAAACUUGGCGAAUAAAUAAUGAUUUCUAAGGGUCUGAAGAACAAUUUUGAGAUGGUCUGAAUGAUCACGCUCAGUGCGAGAAUAAACCAGAAUAUCAUCUAUAAAGACUAUGACGAACAUGUCCAAGUACUGCUUGAACACACAGUUCAUCAAGUCCAUGAAAGUUCCAGGGGCAUUGGUUUGACCAAAGGACAUGACUACAAAUUCAAAGCGGCCAUACCGAGUACAAAAAGCUAUCUUUGGGAUGUCACAUUCUCUAACUCUGAGCUGAUGAUAACCUGAUCUGAGGUCUAUCUUAGAGAAAUAACUGGCACCCUGAAGUUGGUCGAACAGAUCAUCUAUUCUGGGAAGUGGAUACCUAUUCUUGACCAUAACUUUGUUGACCAGAUGGUAAUCAAUACACACCCUGAGAGAACCGUUUUUAUUGCACACAAAUAAGACUGGCGUACCCCAUAGGGAUACACUAGCACUGAUGAAUCCCAUAUCUAAGAGAUCCUUCAACUGAUCUUUCAGUUCUUUAAAUUUUUUUGGUGCUAUUUUGUAUGGUGAGAUAGAGAUAGGCUGAGUAUCUGGGAGAAGAUCUAUGCCAAAGUCUAUUUCCCUUUCGGGAGAAAUGCCUGGAAGAUCUUCGGGAAAGACAUUUAAACAUUCACUAACCACUGGGACUGAUUCAAUACUGGGAGAUUUAGAAUUGAAAUCUUUAACAUGCACGAGAUGAUACACACACCCCUUAGAAAUCAUUUUCCUUGCCCGGAGGUAGGAAACAAGCUGACCCCUGAACGCUAAAACACUACCCUUCCACUCUAAGGUAGCGGGCUUAUUUGGGAACUGAAAUUGAACUAUCCGGGUCUUGCAUCCACUGUGGUAUAGCAGGAAUCAAGCCAAUCUACACUGAGAAUGACAUCAAAAUCAGUCAUCUCUAACUCGACUAAAUCUGCUGACGUAGAUUUCUGAAAUAUCAUAAUCAGGCAGUUCUUGAUACCCUCCGAGCUAUGAUGGUUUUGCCCACUGGGGUAGAGACUGAAAAGGGCUCUGCUAAAAUUUCGGGACUGAUUCUAAAAUCGCCUGCUAUGUAUGGAGUAACAAAAGAAAAGGUUGCACCUGGGUCUAGCAAAGCAUAAACAUGAACAUGGAAAAUUUGUGAUGUACCAGUAACGACAUCAGGAGAAUUUUUCUGAUCGUGUCGGUCUGAAGAGCAUAGAGUCUAUUUGGGCGUUGCCCACUAGUAGCACUGGAAGUGUCACCCUGCUGGUUCGGGCAACCGGACUGAGCUGCGGAAUAAAUUUGCUGGCCCUGAAGACCUGAUUAUGGACACUCUCUAAUCCUGUGGCCUAACUUGCCACAACUAAAAUAGACAUCACUACCGACUCUGCAAAUACCCUUGUGGUUCUUACCACAAGCCUGACAAAGGGGAUUUGUUCGGGUACUGCUAACACUACCCUGAGAUUUAGAGAUUGGCGCUUUGUCUCUACUGCCGUUUUUGAAUUUCAGCACUGGGGCACUAGCGGAGGAAGGAGCUGGAGCUGCUGACUUGGGAUGAAACUGUAAACGGUUCCCUCCCUUUGAUUUGGGCUGAGCAAAACUAAAACUGCCUAAUUUUUCUCUCUUAUUCUGCCUCUCUCUAGUCCUAACCUUCUUCUUCUCUAUCUGUUGAGCAUGGGUCAUGAUUCUAGUAAAGGUCAUAUCACUGUUUUGCAUUGUAGAUCUAUACUUAUUCACCACGCUAUCAUUCACCUCUGAUAUGAACUUGCUCAUCUUAGCCCUAUUGUCUGCAACCACAUGAGGGGCAUACCUGGUUAGCUGAGUAAAUCUGAGAGAAUACUCCCUAACCGUCAUAUUUCCCUGUCUGAAGUUGAUGAACUCAAGAACUUUGGCUUCCGUCAGAUCUUGGGGAAAGAAUCUAUCUAACAAAUAUGUGACAAAUUCCUCUCACCUAAUGGGACCUGGACCAUCUACCCUCUUGGACUUCAACUGUUUUUACCAAGUGUGAGCCAUAUCUUGUAACUGAUAUGCAGCUAACUCAGCACUCUAAAUAGAAGUAACACCCGUGAUGUCAAUGACUUUCUGAACGUGGUCAAUGAACUCUUGAGGGUCUUCAUCAGACUUAGACACUUGGAAUGAUAGAGGGUUCAUUCGAGUGAAGUCCCGAAUCCUAGCUACUACAGAAUUUGACACUUGAUUGGCCAGAAUAGCCGGUGGCCUUUCAUUUUGGGCAGCCACAGACUGAUCAAGUAUGGUGAAUACGGCUCUAAACUCCGGAUGAGAAACAUGUUCGCCCAAAGGAUCUUCGGGCUAAGGAGCUGGCUAAUUUCUUCUCUUUGGGGCCAUAUUCGCAACAAGAGAAGAAUGGAUUAGACUGGGAGUUUAACUUGAGAUUAUGCUCACUAGCAUGACAUAAAUACUGAAAGAAGGGAAACUAUUCCUAAAACAUAUUAUAGCCUCCUGUACAUAAAUAUGGCGCGUAACACACCAAUGCACAUGACUCUACUAGAUGUGGCUUUCAAAAUUCCUAGGGCUCUAUUGAACCUUAGGCUUUAAUACCAAGUUUGCAAUGCCCUGAUUUUCUAAAUUAGAAUGCUACACGGUGCUCAUGACCCUACUGAUAUUUGUACCUGUACACUGCAUAAUAUACAUAUAAUAUGUGGAAAACCUAAACAUGUAGGCCAUAAGGUUAAACUGAAGAGAUAUAGUAACAUCCAUGGGGUAAUGAAUACCUAAAAAAAUUGAAUAUAAAAUUGAAUACUAAAUCUGAUAGCUAAAUCUGAUUAAAUUUGAAAGCCUCUAAGUACUGUCUGAAUAAGGAGUUGAAGGAACAUGUCUCCAACUAACUCCAUAAAGCUGAACUAAAGUAAUAAAUGAAUAAAUCAAAUCUAUUAUCCUCAAAUAAAUGAGGACUCACUGCAACACUGCGACUGGAAAGUUACUGCUGGUCUGGAACUCGUGGCUCUAGACCUAUGGUAUAACAUAAAAAGAAAGAACCAUAGCACAAAUGCGUCAGUACAACUGGAGUACUAAGUAUACGAGUGAGGUAGGCUAAUGCAAAGGGUUUACAUGCAUGAAUAAUGCUAAUUGACUGACUGAUAUGAACGUAAGAGUACAAACAUACAUAUAUAGUAACUGAGAUCAUAAGUACGUGGUAGCUAAAUCUGUACGCUAAUACAUAAUUGGAACUAUAGUUCUGAUAACAUGAGCGACUGUGUCUGAUAGUCCUAAAUCUUGUAGAACUCUCUGAGUCCCGUGCUAUAACUGAAUUUGACUAUAUCUAAUAGUCCUGGUAUACUAAUAUAUGAAGAACUGUCUGAGUUAUUUUACUGAGACUGAUACUGAAACUGUGGGAGGUAUUUAUUUAACUAAAAUGCCCCAUGUAUACCAUUACGGAUAAGCUGGGGUCCAAUCUCCACCCCGACUGAAGUGGUGUCAAUACCGCGCCACUGGUAAUAAUAGUUGUAAGUGACCCUUAUAUGGUAGGUACUCAGAGUGAGAACGGUGGGACCCUAAACUGACAGGUUAAGCCACCUCAUCAACCCUAAUCUGACAGGUUAAGAUGUCUCAACCUACGCUGGCUACGUAGUUCUGGAAGACAAGGAUGACUGCUAAGAAUCACACCCUAAACUGGCAGGGGAGUUCCUAUCCUUGGGUUCACUUGGUGCUAACUUCUGCUCCCAUCUGAAGGGACUGAACAUGAUUUAACUGGAUGUACAUAGACUGAAUAACUAAUAUCCAUUGACUGAGGGAGUCGUACUAUUAUCUGAGAGUUAACUGAGAUCAUGAGAUUUCUGAUGUUUCCUAACUCACAUGACUGACUGAGUUCUAUAGAGUAUAGCUUGACUGGAUUUAUCAUGGCACAUGACAUGGCUCUCGGCACACAGCUAUAUUUUUCGGGUACGAAUACCCCCAGGACUUGAUAGAAGGAAACUGGCACACAUGACAUGACUUGAUCACAAGAUUAGAGUCCACAAUUUACAAUAUUAUAAGUAGGGGAUAGUAUACUUCAUAUAUUUAUUCACUUGUCAACAUGGUAGGGAGAGCAUAGAUAUGUUUCAUGUAUAUAAUUCAUAUUUCCAUUAUCACACAUGCUUCAUGCCACAACAAUAACAACACAUAAAUAGCAUGGAAAUUCAAAUGGAAGUGUAUAGCUAAUAUGGACUUGUCAUUUAGAUAUCAUGGAAUCAUGUAAUUAUGGGUUUCUAGCAUCCUAGGCAUUUUAUCAAACACCUUGCAUGCAUUAUUUAAAGCAUAGGUGGAUUUCAGGCUUGCUUCCUAUUAAACCACCUAAAUUUCAUGUUUUUCAACUAACAACCAUAUAUAUUUCUUGAAAACAUCUUUAGAUAUCAUUUUGAAACUUAAACAACAAUCAUCAACAUGUACAUGCUUAUAUCACCGUAAAAAGUUUACUAAAUAACAUUUAAAAACAUGGUUAUUGAUCUCUAAGAAUGGAUUGGAUCCAUAGAUGAACACUACGCAUACCUUAGAUUAAGAAUUCAUGGAAUCUACGGUUGAGUUUGCUUGAUGCUUGAAACCCCAAUGGAAACCCUAGACUUGUUCUUGACUGUUCUUGAGUGAAUUGUGAUAAAAUUAAUGUAAAGGUCUUAUUUGGGGCUUCAAUACCAUGUUUAAAGAGUAUAUAUAGGGUUUUGGGAAGUUACCACAUUUCCCUUGAGGAGUUUAAAACAAAAACUAAAAACUACGCAAAAUUUAUCCUGAUUUAGGGCCCCAGCGUGAUGCGGAACUUGGUAAAAUGCCAAUUAUUAUGACCUGGAAGCUUGGAGCGAAGUGGGGCUAUCGCGGAGGCUUUCUAGAAAUUGACGAGUUCCAUUUUGGCCUCCGGCGCGACGCGCCAUGCACCUAAAUGGCAUUCGUCUUGCAACAAAAACUUAAAAUAGCCAUAACUUCUUCACCGGGUGUCCGUUUUAGGCGAAUUUGGUAUCGACGGAAAUAUUAUCAAAUUAUCUAUCCAUUGGUAGGUCAUGGUAUCAAAAACUCAUUGUAUAAUGAUAGAUAUUCUCUUUUUAAGUUGAAAAUACCAAUAUCCUUCUUAAGAAUUCAAUCGGUAAGGAAUGUUUUGAUUCGCACAAUAGCUAGGACAUAUUUGAGACCUUAAUUCACAUCAACCUUGAUCAUGAAACUACCAAGUAACCAUGAUGUAUUAUGCAUGAUCUUGAAACAUGAAGCUAAUAUUGAAAUGGAUUUUUUGGGGUAUUACAACCACCAAAUCUCAAUAUAUGAUUUCAAAGUCCUAAAGGUUACUUAAUAUGGAGUAGUAAGGCUAACCGAAAUCCAUUAGAUUUCCCAAAUCAUUCCAAGGAUUAAGACUAAAUCUAGGUUGACAAGUUAAGAUCUUCUUAAGUCUACAAGGAGCUAAGCAUAUCUACUAACCUAAAAAAUCCACACUAAGUCAAGUACCAACACAAACCUAGGCUAAGGCUUUAUAAUUUUAUCCCAAGGUACUAAGUCAAAUCUAGCCCUUAGGUAUAAAUCUAAUCCAAUAUGAGGGAAGAUGGUCCACAAUCAACCCAAAUGGGCUCUCUAAUCAUCCAAAUAAUCAAUAAUUAGUAAAAUUAUCAACCAAUUAAUAAAUACCUACUCAAAUCUAGCAUAAUACUACACUGAUACCAUAAGCCUAGCCUACCUGGAUAAUUUUGAAAGUUUGAGAAAAUCCACUAGCUUUUUCCUAUCGAGAAGCCUCUAAAUGCUACCAUGCUAUCAAAAUAAUAAAUAUGUAUUAAGAUAAGGAUAGUGAUACCCAUAUUGCAUAUAUAUGCUCUGAGUAAAAAGUCAAACUAAAAAUCCCAUGUAGGUCCACUUGCAGAAUCACAAAACUAAAAUCAUCAACAUAUACCCAUAAGCUCAAGGAUCAUUUACCCUCAACAAAGGGUGAAUUCUAACAUAAUUAAGUCCCGAACAUCCUAUAAAGUAAACUAGGGGUUUAAAGUUAACUAGAGAAUUAAACUAGAAAUUAAUGGAAACUUACGAAAAUAAAGGUGAGAAAACGACCAUAAUGACAUCCCCAACUCACUCCUGACACCCAAUGAUAGAUCAUCAUAAUUUAUUAGCUCUCUAGGGCUUUAAUGAUAGUUGUACUUAAUAAAACAAUGAAAGAACAAUGAGUUCCACAGCUUUAAAUGCCGUUAGGGAUCUAUUUAUCGUGUUCGUUGGGACCCCAUCACGAAUGUGACCUCUAACCUGGAUAGCCUUUUGCAAAUGCGAUCAGUAUACCGCGAUCACAAAGAACAAAUCUUGACUAAUCAAAAGAUAACCCUUUUCAAAUAUAAUGACUAAUAACACUGACCUUCGUGAAUACAGCCAAUGCCUCAUAAAUUCAGAUGCCAUUUUUGGCUUGCACCAGCAAACUUGGCAAAGUGACAAGUUUUUGAUCGAAUCCUCAGGAUUUAUCUGAAAUACCAUAAACAUAAAUUAACUAUGCUAUAUAGCAAAUUUGACAUCCAAACUCAACGGCACCAUCAAUAUUUCUAUUUAAGGUUGUUUUGAUCAAAUGUGGGGCUCACACUCAAGGGAUGUUUUAGCUAAAGUUCACCCAAUAGGCCAAAAUAAGUUCAAAAGCCAUAGGACCCAAACCAAGGGUCACCUAGCCUAAAGUUGAUAUUAUAAAGCUAAUAGAACUGUUAGAAUUAGCAUCUAGGACUAUUUGUCAAAAGUUUAGAUCUAUUAUUUAUUUUAUAACAUUAAAAUCUCCAAAAUGGAGAAUUGGUUCUAAAAAUCAAAUGAACUGCCUGGUGGCCAAACGGCCAGUACCAACAAGUCAUAAAUAAUGUGAUGCAGCUGUGUUAAAUCUCUGAACAUUGAAAAGCACAAAAAUACAGGAAAUGACUAGGAGGAUCAUUAUAAUUAUACUUAACCAAAACUCUCCCUAAAAUUUGAAAAUUGUCUAUACCAAAACAUUGAGAAUAUCAAGAAAGGGGAUGCAACCCAAAAACACUAAUAAUGUAUCAUAGUACAGAAACAAAGGACUAGAAGAAUAAACUAAUGAAUCCAUGGAAGCCUAAAAAUUGCAGUUCACUCUAAGAUUUGAAUCACGCGCUAAAAAUCACAACUAAUGUCUCAAGUAAGUUGCUAAAAUAUGCUCCGCGCUCAACAAAAGUAAGAGCAAGUGUAGCAUCAGCUCAAAAGAAGACAAUAGUGUACUAGUAGGGUUAUUUGGCCAAUCCAAAAUAAAAUAUGUGAACAUUUAACAAUAAUGUAGUUCAACAAGUUAACAGAUGGUCAUAACUACAUAACCUUAUUUAUUUAAGUACACUCGGCAUAGAAAAUAAAAUUCAGCACAAAUAAUAAAAAGUCAAUAAGACAACUAGUCAAGAGGGUCAAAAAAUAAUCACUUUAGUCAAUUAAGUCAAAUAAACAAAAUCAAGUCAACAUUUAUAUAUAAUUAACAACUCACUCAUGGAACCAUCAAACUCACCUCUACCUUAUACACAGACCAAAAACCUUAUGGUUGCCCCCUUAGUUAUGACCUACAGGAGAUGAAUUAUGUCCAUGUACCAUAUCCCAAACAAAAGUGCCUGUGUAUCAUAUUUUACCAAAUCUCGUAGAGAUGUACCAUUACUAUUACACUCCACAUUAAUUAAUGUAAUAUCAUAACAAACACAGAAUAAUGAUAUCAAUCAAUACUUGUAGUAACCUCAAGAUUUAGAUAAAGAUUCAUCAAAAUGUGAUCAAACUUAUAUAAUCCAAUAAGUCUUUUUACCCUUUUUUAUUCCUCAACACAUGCAUCAAAUAACAAUACUAAGAAAUAGUUAAUAUUUAGACAUAACUCAAAUUAGAUUAAACUACGUAGCCAUCUCAUACCUAAAUCAAAUCUUGAUCCUUACAGUGAUGACCCUCUAUAUUAUUUUCUAUAUUUUUGCAUUCUUUUGGUGUUUUAGAACUUUCUCAUAGGUGGACCAAGUCAUUUACGACUUUGUAAAGCUGAAAGUUCCACUAUCGGAUAGUUUAUUUGAUUUUCAAAGUUAAUUCUCUGUUUUGACCUUUUUACUAUUAUAAAUUAGGUAUCGAGCCUAAACUAUAAGUAAACAGCCCUGUAUGUUAAUUCUAACAGUUUUAUUAGAUCCAAAAACAUAAAUUUUAGGCUGGAAAGACCCUUGAUUUGGGUUCCAAGGCUUUCAGACUUAUUUUGGGCUAUUGGAUGGAUGUUUGUUAAAAGUUCCCUUGGGUGUGGGACCUACAUUAAUUAAAACAACCUCUGAUAGAAAUUUCAGUGGCAGCAUUGAGUUUAAAAUUUCAAAUUUUAUAGUGUAUUACAUUUUUUUUGCAUUUAUGGAACUCCAAACAAGCCUUAAGCUUGAUUAAACAUUACAAAUUUGUCAAGUUUCUGGUGUAGGACAAAAAUGGCAUUCUUGCUUGUGAUGUUUCAGUUGAUUUUGUGAAGGUCAAGGUUAUUGAUCAUCAUAUUCAGAAGGACUUGAGUCGUUAUCACCAAUAUCAUAAAGACUGGUCAUUACAUUAGUGAGCAUACCUUUGCUUUCGCGAUGAGUAAGUUGGGUCAGGCAUCGCAUUUGUAACAGGGUUCUUACAAUCGCGAUGAAGACCCUUGCCAGUAUUUAUUAUUGUGAAAACCAAUUUCUCUCUAUUUUUCUUAUGUUCCAAAUCGACUAAAUACCCUAGUUAUCUAAGAAAGUAUGGAUAUCGAUCCUUAGGCAUUUGGAGUGAUUUAGGAACAUCAUUUUGGUCAUUUUCUCAUUGAUAUUUCUGUAAGUUUCCAAUAAAUUCUUGAUUAAUUUUUUAAUUUAAAAAAAAUUCUAAUUUGUUUUAUGAGCUUAUUUAGGGCCCUAUUUGUGCUCUAAUUUUAUCCAUUUUUUAAGCUAAAUGAUUCUUGAGCUUUGAGGGAAUUCUAAUGGUUUCAAAGUCGUGAUUUUGUGAGUGAGCCCCUCAUAGGACUUUCAGCUCAAUCUUUGAUCUAGAGAAUUUAUAUGCAUUAAGGUUUUGUUAUUCUCAUUUUAACAUAUAGAUAACUAUUUUGAUAGCAUAGAUCAUGCGGAGGCUUCUCAAAAGCAAAAAUCCCUGAUUUAUUGGACUUAUAGAGCUUUCUAUGGAGUUCAGGUAGGCUAGGCUUACUUCUUUAUUAUAUUGAGCUUUAUUGUGAUAUUGGUAUGGUAUUAUGCUAAUAAUGGAUUGGGUUUUACAACUUGGUCGUAUGUUUAGUGACUUUUGAAUUAUGUUGUUGCUUUAAUAAUUGUUAUAGGUAGAGUUCAGGCUCAUUCAUCCUACUUGGUGUAAGGUGGUUACUUGAAGCCUAGUUGUCACUUAUUAAAUAUUUAGUAGUGGAACAUUGGAUACUUAGAUUUAUUUUGGGUAUAAACUUGUCUUAGUAUGAAUUUUCAGGAUUAGUAGUAGGCCAUGUUGUUUUUUUUCUUGGUCAAUAUCUAGACCCUCUUAGACAUGAAAGGACUUCUUUCAUCACCCUAGAAUAAUUCUUGACCCUUAGGAUGAUUUAGAUGCAUUUUCAACCUUGGACUAAACUUGUGACCUUGUAUUUAUUUACUAGUUCCAAUUCAAGUUCGACAAUUGGGAUUCAUAUACUAUACUUGGAUUUGAUAGUAUGAUACACUAGUUCUAAUCUGAUUCUGACAUAUAUGAUCUAUUUAUAACAUUAUUAUGAUCAUAUCACUCUUCAAUUCUUGUUCAAGUCCAGCUUUAUAGUUUGAAGGAAUCUCAGGUAUGGUCUCACAGUUAUUUACUAAAAGUUAUGAUGGUUGAUAUUCUCUUCCUUGUUAGGAUCCAUAGGGCUAAAGGGGGCUCGGCUAAGUUUUUCCCUUGUUGUAUACACCUUCUAGGCAUAUGGUGGUCUAGUUAGGUUAUAAUUAGACUGUAUUUAGUUUAAUUUAUUCAUUAUACAAAAUUAUCGCUCAUUCUCAAAUUCAAGUAGUAUUCGUGAUAUUAUCUUUAUCCAUGACUUGACAUUACUUUCUCGUGUUUUAUUAUGAUUUAGCUCAGUCGAUCGAUGAUGCCUACUAAGUUCCCAUUGUUUUGGUACUUUUGCUACACUUCUGUAUCUUGUUUGGAUGUAGAUCCGAGUAUGAGUCACUGCCAUUGAUGUUCUAUCUAGCUUAAUUUUGGGACUAGGAGAUAGGAUGAGCUUUUAGAGCCAGAGCUAAUUCUCUCCUUCUACUAUUUUUGGAUAGAUUUUACUUUUGAGAUAACUGUAUAUUUUCAACUAUGUAGAACUCUAAUUUUUGGAUUUAGUGGACCUUGUACCAACCUUACUAGGUCAUGGCCGUAUUCUUUUGUUUUCUAUCUCUCUCUCUUGUUGAUAUUUUCACUAUUGUACCUAUUUUUUAUUGCUUACUCUAUUAAAUGAUUAUUUUUGGUAUCUCUUAUACCUUCCACCAACUUAACCCAUUACUUUUCAUUUCAACACACACACACACACAUAUGUGUGUGUAUGUAUAUAUAUGUAUGUAUGUGUAUAUAUAUAUGUAUGUAAGUAUCGCGACCAACAAAAGUCUGAAAUAAUACAUAAACCGCUGAAAACCUAGUGUUAUAAUGUAAUAGGAAUCAAGUACAUAUCAAAAACUGAAAGUACAAAAACUAUCUCUGAACCAAAUAAAGACAUAAGUAAGAUAGAGUGAGAUUCAUCCAUGAACACUAGGAUGGUCUGGUACCUCAGAUAUCACAAAUCAACAUCAAGAUCUCAACCUCUGUUUAUUGUACUCUGAUAACGCUCAACUUACACGUCAAUUUAGUGUAAGCCGAUCAUCGGCAAUAUAAUUACCCAACUUUGGAGUCGGGGUCGAAUCCACGAGGAACAAUGUGAGUGACAAUUAAACUAAUUUGAAACUAUAGCUACAAGUUAACUUCAAAAAAAUUAUACGAAAAGAUAAAAUGGGAUUUUUUGUAAUGGUUGAUAAAAGUUUCAACUUGCUUCAAAACUCAAAGCUAAAAUUUUAAUGGUUCAAAAUCAAUGAUAGAGAGAAACUAGGGUUAUGAUCACUAUGAUUAUCAACCCCUCAUUGAAUAAUAGUUGUAGUACUGGAUUCUCAUGACUUAUGGGAAACACCAAAUUAUCUGUAUCAACAUUCUAUCUAAGUGUUUCUCAACCUACCUAGAUGUUGUGCUCCCUAACUCUCUCGAACUUAGAAAAACCUUUUAUUCACAUUGAUUUUAUCUUGAGUUUAUUAAUCUUGUUACAACAUUAAUCAUUAGAUGGAAAAUUAACCUUCCCAAAUCCUCGUUGAUAAUUCACUACCUUUAGUUUAUUUCUCAGUUCGAGCAAGCAAACAUAAGGCUAGAUCUAUUGUUUGCAACCUAUAGAAAACAAUCAUUAAUAAGGAAUUAUCAAGAUGUUCCCACAAUCACGCAAACCCCAACCAACUAUUAAAUCCAUGGAGGAAUAAUCAUAGAUCCCACAACCCUAGUUAUGGGUUUUAGUUCCACAUGAGAAAAAAAGAGAUAGGAACAAUUGUAUUCAUCAUUCAGAGCAAUUAAAGUCUGAGGUUGAUGCUCUUCCAAUCUCAAGAAGAAUAUCCCACAACUCAAUCAAAGAAUUGAAAAUUGAAUUCAAAGUUAAGAGAUCCAAAAAAGAAGUAAACUAGCCUUUGGAAUAAGUUUCAAAUGUUAAGCCAUUUUCAAUGAAACCCUAAAAGUUGUUGUUGAUAUCCGUAACUUAAGAAAAAAUUAAAAUUACAAGUUCAGAUUUUUCUCCUUAGCUGACGACAUGUCUGACGGUUUAUCAGAGAUCUGAUAGCUUUUCAGACCAUGUCGUCAGACAUGAUUCCCAUUUCUUGCCUUCUUCUUAUGUGUGACGACAUACCUGACAGCUUAUCAGAGUUCUGAUAGCUUCACAUAACAUGUCGUCAGGUAUGCUUCAAACUUUUGCCUUUUGCUUCUGAGUGACGACAUGCCUGUCGGCUUAUCAUAGAUCUAAUAGCUUAUCAGGACAUGUCAUCAGAAAAUCUUCAGCUUCUGAGUGAUGGCAUUCUUGACGGCUUAUCAAAGAUAUAACGGCGUAUCAGGGGAUAUUGUCACACUUCUGCUCUAACUUCCUCACACUGUCUACAUCUGAUGAUGACUCUGACAACUUAUCACAAAUUUGAUGACUUAUCAGAAAAGUCAUUAACUACACUUUCAUGGCCACUUGUUCCAAAUUCACCUCUUUUGCUCUUAUUGUCUUUGAUUUUCUUGGAUCUUGACUUUUCUGUAUUAUCAAAGAGAAAGCAAUAAAAAAUGACAAAAGUUGUUUAUGACUUUAUAAUUAUUUCUAGUUCAAAGCCUCAAAUGUGUUAGCAUUAGCUCACACAUCAACACCCUCAACUUAAAACAAUUCCUUGUCCUCAAGCAACUUAAACAUAACUAAGAGGAUACAAAGCACAUUCGGCAGUCAAUCAUCCAUUUUAGCUCAAAACACAUUACACUCUCCAAGUUCAAUCACUCUAAACCCAACUGUGUAUAACAAUGAAGAUCAACAACGCGAUACAAGGAAAUCAAGAUAUGGCAUCAAAUUGGCAACAAUAACCAUGCCUAUAUACAAAUUACACUUUCCAAACAAGUAGGCAACUAGCAAUGCAACCGAUGUGCCUUUACAAUAAAGAAGUCCCUCCUCACUCAUAUGUGAACUCAAGCAUGUCAAUGCGGGGAUGGUCAAGAGACACUCACUCUCAAAAAGAAGUUCCAGUCAAUGUAUGACAAAUACCAUAAGCUUGCUCUUAUUUUCAUUAUCGAAGCUUUCAGACUGUUAAGUUAGGAUCACUAUAGGACUUUUCUUCAGCUUGUAAUGUAGGCUUGGGGCUGGUAUGAUACACAAGGAUAUUUAAAGUAAAUAAGCCUCCUUGGUACUACACUAUUUUUGGGGUUUCACUUAUCAACCUUUACCUUAUUUCUCCCUUUCUUGAUUAAAGCACAUUCAAGCUGGGUGUAGUUUUUAUUCAUUUAUUUUCUCUUUUGCACAACUUUUCUUUUCUCAUUCUUUUUCUACAAUACCCAGCCUUGCAUAUUUUUUUAACCCUUCUUCAUACUCACUUUACAUCACGCACCCCUAUAAUAGCCACUCUCAACUUAGGUUAUUUGCCUACGUCAAAGUGCACAAUUUCCAAGAAGGACCAGGUCCAAAACAGGUUCAUUGUGAUACAAAUGGGAAGGUGAUAGGUAUAAUAAAAAGAAUAGGCAUUCAGGCUCAAAAUCAGGAUCAAGGGAUAUUAUUCAUACAUAGAACGUCAUUUAGGCUAAAAGUGAACUAAUAUCUACAACGACCUAUGAUCCUUUCCUAACUGCUAUCCUAUAACCAAGGCAAGACCAACCGGGCAAGUGCUAGAUUUACCACACAACGGGAACAAAGUAGUAUCUCACACACACAUGGCAUAAAGGUACAUCACAAGCUACUACCCAUUCGGUUCAUGAAAUUAUUUGCAGUGAUUAUCAUGUACCUAGUACUAAUGCCAUAAAAAUAUUCACAGUAGUCACAUAUAGAUACACAUCAUAUAGUUACCAGACAGAUAAUUAGAGAGGUAUUUAUCAUUCAAAGAUAAAUCAACAAAAAUAUGUCAACUAUCCUAGAUACUUAUUUUUCCCCCAGUUAACCACAACACAUCACAAAAUAAACACAAUACGCCUAAAUAUGUCGGAUAUACUAGGAACAAGACUCUGAAGAAAAAAUGCACGGUAACAAAAACCAAAGGAGGACAUCAACACCCACAAGUAGCUCCACCCUCAACUUAAAAUCAUGCAACAUCCCUAAUGCAUCAAACCAAAACAAGAAAUUUAGGAACAUACCUGUGGCACCAUGGGUGUGAAGAUCUGAUGUCAAUCACAUAAUACGAAUACAAACAACAAAAUACCUUGGGUUUCCUCCCAAAAAGUGUCUAAUUUAGUGUUGCGGCAUGACCCAACUUAGCUUUUUCCUCCACCUUGAAAAUAUAAAUUUUACCCGCAACUUAGAGUCCAUCUUCUUGCCUCGCUCAAAGGGGGGUGGAACAAAAAUUAAGAAGUCGAGUAAUGGAUUGAGCGUGGUAAAAUACCUAGCCAUAAAGUGAGGUGUGAUUUUAUGUUGCUUGUCUAAUAUAAAAUCAAGAAUAUAGGAUUCUUGUUCCUCAUCUUCACACUCCUAGUAUUUUAAAUGAUUCCAUAGACAAGAUAUCAUCUAAGCAUAAUGUAGAAAAAUGCUUUAAAUGACGCCCAAUCAAUCCUACUUCAAAAUUUACAUUAUCUACUACACACUCACUUUUAUUCACCUUCUCGACAUCUUCACUUUGAAUUGGGCUAGAGUCUUUAAUAGAGAUUUUCUUGGUUUCUUCUUUUGCCUCUAGCACCAUGUCCUCAAUCUUGGCAUCAUCUCUCAUGGUUGGUUCGGUUGUUUGAAAAAUCACUGAGGGUUGCUCAACAUCAAGCUCAACAUAAAUAUAGCGUUCUUGCUCCUCAUUUUCACAUAUUUCUAUUAUUUUAAAUGAUUCCACAGAUAAGAUAUCAUCUAAACAUAAUAUAGAAGAAUGCUUUAAAUGAUUGACCUAUAUAUCCAUCUCCUUAUGAAUGAUUGGCUUCAUGUCUUGGCGCAUAUCACAUACGAUAUCAUACAUUUCUUUCUAGAGAUCCAAUAUUAGUUGAAACAUAACUUCAAUGCCACUCUUUCUGGUGCUCCGUUCUUUCUUUUCUUGACCAUAAAACCUAUCAAACUCAUAAGAAGAACUAGAAUUUGGGUUAGCACAAUAGGGGGAGAAGGCAUUUGGUCAAUCACUCUAAUGUCCAUCUUGAUCACCACAUAAAGAACAAUCAUACUCUCGAUAGGAUGGAGAUGGUGCACACAUCUCUCUUUGAGGAGUGUAUCUACAAUCUUUCCAAAAGUGAGGUCCAUCACAAUAUGGACAUAGAUCAUCAAGAUAAGAUUUCUAACCACCAAUUUCAUGUUCAUUCCACGAUGCCAUAGUAAUAAGCAAACUAAAAUAAAAAUCUACCUAACACAAAAAAUAAAAGAAAAUUAAAAUCAAAUAUUUACAAGUUAGAAUUCAAGCAAGUAGGUUAAAAUUACAAACCAACUCAAUACAUCAAAUUGUUCCCCGGCAACGGCGCCAUUUUUGAUAACGCUCAACUUACAUGUCAAUUUAGUGCAUAGCGGUCGUGGUCAAAAUAAUUACCCAACUUUGGAGUCGGUGUCGAAUCCACGAGGAACAAUGUGAGUGGCGAUUAAACUAAUUUGAAAAUAUAGCUACAAGUUAACUUCAAACAAAUGAUACAAAAAGAUAAAAUGGGGGUUUUUUAAUGGUUGAUAAAAGUUUUAACUUGCUUCAGAACUCAAAGCUAAAACUUUAAUAAUUCAAGUCAAUGAUAGAGACAAACUAGGGUUAUAUGAUCACUAUGAUUACUAACCCCUCAUUGAAUAAUAGUUGUAGUACUGGAUUCUCAUUACUUGUGUGAAACACCAAAUUAUCAUAAUUGACAGUCUAUCUAAGUGUUUCUCAACCUACCUAUAUGUUGUGCUCCCUAACUCUCUCGAACUUAAGAAAACCUUCUAUUCACACUAAUUUUAUCUCGAGUUUAUUAAUCUUGUUACAACAUUAAUCAUUAGAUGGAAAAUUAACCUUUCCAAAUCCUCGUUGAUAAUUCACUACCUUUAGAUUAUUUCUCAGUUCGAGCAAACAAACAUAAGGAUAGAUCUAUUGUUUGCAACCAAUAGAAAACAAUCAUUACAAAGUAAUUAUCAAGAUGUUCCCACAAUCACUCAAACCCUAACCAACUAUUAAAUCCAUGGAGGAAUAAUCAUAGAUCCUAUAAGCCUAGUUAUGGGUUUUAGUUCAACAUGAGAAAGAAAGAGAUAACAACAAUUGUAUUCAUCAUUCAGAGAAACUGAACUUACAAAAGAUGAAGUCUGAGGUUGAUGCUCUUCCAAUCUCAAGAAGAAUAUCCAACUCAAUCAAAGAAUUGAAAAUUGAAUUAAAAGUUAAGAGACCCAGAAAAGAAGUAAACUAGCCUUUGGAAUAAGUUUCAGAUGUUAAUCCCUUUUCAAUGAAACCCUAAAAGCUACUGUUUAUAUCCAUAACUUAAGAAAAAUUCAAAAUUACAAGUUUGAAUUUUUAUCCUUAUCUAACGACAUGUCUGGAGUCUUAUCAGAGAUCUGAUAGCUUAUCAAACCAUGUCGUCAGACAUGAUUUCCAUUUCUUGCCUUCUGCUUAUGCGUGACAACAUACCUAAUGGCUUAUCAGAGUUUUGAUAGCUUCUCAGAAUAUGUCUUCAGGCAUGCUUCAAAUUUUUGCCUUCUACUUCUGAGUGAUGACAUGCCUGACGGCUUAUCAGAGAUCUAAUAGCUUAUCAGGACAUGUCGUUAAAAAAUCUUCUUCUUCUGAGUGACGGCUUUCUUGUUAUAGCUUAUCAGAGAUCUGACGGCUUAUCAGGGGAUGUCGUCAUACUUCUAUUCCAACUUCCUCACACUGUCUACAGCGGAUGAUGACUCUGAUAACUUAUCAUAACUUUAAUGACUUAUCAGACAAAUCAUCAACUACACUUUCAUGGCCACUUGUUCCAAAUUCACCUCUUUUGCUUUAGUUGUGUGUAGUUUUCUUGCAUCUUGACUUUCCUGCAUUAUCAAAGAGAAAGCAAUCAAAAAUGACACAGGUUGCUUAAGACUUUACAAUUAUUUCUCGUUAAAAGCCUAAAAUAUGUCAGCAUUAGCUCACGCAUCAUACUCUUGCUAGGAUCUUUACCAAAAAAGGCACAGUAGGAGUGAGUAUGGUUCAAUUGUACUUAGUAGGUAUCAUAGGCCAAUAGACCAAACUAGGAAAUAAAAUAAGUAAAAUAUACUAUAAGCACGUCACCUGUAAACAGAAGUCCCAAACCAUAGUUCACAUCAUCUCCACUAAUAGUUCUAACAUAUAUAAGUAUACAAAAGCAGUAACAACACUGAUAUAAGGAAGAAAAUACAUGGAAAUCACACAUAAAUCAAGAAAACUAAGGGAAAAAAGCAAGAUAUGUAUACAUUGCAAUGCAAUGCAAUAUGGAUGAAAUGAAUGGUGAAAUUUAUUGCAUGACUUUCCAUAUACACCCAUCGAGCUGGUAGCUACAAGACGGGACUCAUUGGGGGUUUGAAAUACAUAUAUUAUAUCCCAUAUCUCAAUCUCAAUCUCAGUUUUAACUCUCCUCUUUGGCUUGUGUUCAUGGAAAGGACUUUAAUAAAAGUGUUUCAUUUUCUUUCAAAAAUAGUGUAUCUCAGUGGUAUCAAUAUCUCAUGAAUGAACAUAUAUAAAAUAAGGAUGUAAUGCUUAAAAUCAGGCCAAAAUGAGGAUAUCCAAUCAACAUGUAAGUAUAUAUAAGUGAGCCAAGAAAUAAACUUAAUAUUUCCAUAAUUCAUGAUUUAUCAACUCCAAAUAACUACCAUCAUAAUAAAUAUACAUUCACGAUAUCAUUAUUAUCAUAUCAACCCCUAACCCAGGUAUUUUAUCAUGAUAAAAGCAAUUAAUACUUAAUUAAGGCCUAUAUUAUCAAAUUAAGCCCCCAAACAUGGAUUAUAUAUAGAUGAAGGCAUAAAGAUGCAUAGUUAACGUCAAUGAUGUCAAGUAAGGCACCCACAUAAGUAACACACAAUAUAGAUACUGUAAGUCAACAAUAACAGAAUGUAAUCUACCACACGGGCACACAAAAGUAAAAUAAUCAUGAAGUAAAAAAAACUAGUUACUUCACCAACCCAUAGCAUGUUUUACUUAUAUAUUAUAUAUCUAACUAAAUCUGAAAGGAGUUAAGUCAUAAACUACCUCAAAAUGGUGAAUCUCGGUAUAAAGUGCCUCAACAUGGAACUUUCUCCUUGAGAAUAGCCUCGAAAUCAACUACAACAUUCAAAUAUAGAAUCUACGCAUUAAAAUAAUGCUAACAAUAGUCAUAUUACCCAUAUUCGGGUCGGGGUCAAAACUAGUUUUAAAAUGAAUUUGAAAAUUAAAGGGGUAUAACCAGAAUUUUAUUUCAGAAACACAUUCCCCAAGGUUAUAGGAGUCUAUAAGAGAAAACCUAUGCAAAAAUCGAUUAAAUCAAGGUCCAAAACAAAUAAAAACUAUUUUUAAACUUUAUCAAUAAGAACCUAAAUUUUCCUCUUUAAAAUCAUGAUUUAAAGGUGUUUUGAAGAUAAAUCAAGGAAAAAUAGUGGGUUAUGAGUUUAGAAGUUUCUCACAUAAAAAUCAAUAUUGAAACCCUACAAAAUUAUCUUUUCCAAAUCUUGGAGAUCCAAAAAUGGAGGAUAAUCGAGAAAAGAGGGUUAUAUACAGCGGUUAGCGACUAAGUGGAUGCUUAAGCAUCUACACUAAAGUAGUACCAAGACACUAAAGCGAUUACUACUUAAGUGAUGUCUGGCUACUAAAGAGACUACCUCUUAUGUGGUCUUGGGCCGCUCAAGCGAACCUUGCGCGCUUAAGCGGGUACACCAGAUACCAGUUGAUGUUUAUUUUAGUGCAAUCAUACCAAGAUUUGAUCGGACUCUCAAAAAUUUAAUCGAGAUCCCACUGAGACAAACCAUAUAUGCUACUUGGCUAUUUUAUUAUUCUAAACUCAAUGACGAUAUCAGAUUUGUUAAAAAAAGAUUAUUUUCACAAAAUUAACCCUUGGAACCUUAUUUCACUAUUUUUCAAACAAAGAAUUGAAAUGAGAUAUAAAGGUCCCAAAAUUGAUCCAACCCCGCUAUCAACUCAAAUCGACAUUCCAUAUCUACCGGUGUAGUCCAUUUUGCCAUCCAACGCUCAAAAUAACAAGUGUUGACCAAAGUCAACUAUAUGGCUUUUCAAGUUUCCAAAAACCACAAACUCACACAACUCAUUUCCAAUUGCCUCGAGAACCAUGCCAACCAUCAACGAACCAUAAUAUCAAUAAGUAGAAACUAUGAGGAAGGACUAAAUGGUCACAAAACAUAAAAAUAGAAAAUUCACAAACCAAGGUCACUACAUAUGUGAUACUUAGAUAUGAUGGUAUGAUACUCUAGUUUCAGUUCAGGUACGGUAUGUAUGAUAUAGUUAUAACAUUAUUAUGAUGAUAUCGCUCUUCAGUUCCAGUUCAAGUCUAGAAUUAUGAUUUGAAGGGAAUCUCAGGUAUUGUCUUACUAUUUCUUAAUUGAAGUUAUGUUGUCGGUACUCUCUUUCUUGAUUAAAUCCACUGGGCUUAUGGGGGCUCAACUGGGUUUUCCUUGUGUUUGCACCUUCUACCUUAUGAGGAUCUAGUUAGUUUAUAGUUAGAUUGUAUUUAGUAUGAUUUAUUCAUUAUGCAUAAUUAUCACUCAUUCUCAAAUAUGGAGUAGUAUUCUAGAUAUCAUCUUUAUCCAUGACUCUACAUUACUUUUUUGCAUUUUACUAUUCUUUUAUUAUGAUUUACCUCAGUUAGUUGAUGAUACCUACUGAGUACCCAUUAUUUUAGAUCUCAUGCUAUACUUCUGCAUCUUUCUAUGAUGCAGAUCAGAGUAUGAGUCACCGCCACUAAUGUACUAUCCAACCUGACAUAGGGUGAACUCGAUUAAUCCUCUCUCAUACUAAUUUUGUACAGUCUUUACUUUCUAUAAUACGUAUAUAUUUUAUACUAUUUAUUACUAUUAUUAUUAAAUUUAAUGGAUCUUAUACUGACCUUACUAGGUCAUGGGAUAUUCUUUUGAUCUUUCUCAGUCUCCCUCGUUGAUAUUUGUAUUCUUGUACCUAUAUUUCUAUUGCUUACAAUUCUGUUGAAUGCUUAUUUUUUGGAUUUCUUAUACCUUCUACCCAUUUAUCCUAUUACUUCGCAUUCCAGGCUAUGGUUUGGCCUACCUACUAGUAGACUAAAGUAGGUGUAGUCAUGGUUCUCGAAAUUGGGUCAUAACACAUGCCUUUCCACACAAGUUCUACUUGAUUUUGGUAUAGCAAUACAAAUAAACCAUACAAUCAACCCAUUGACCUAUAAUGAUGAGUAUUACACCCAAUCCCAACCCCUAAGGCCAAGUUCAUGAUCAUUUCUCCUCCUUACUAGGGCAUUACUACCAUAAUUAAUCCCAUACCUACCGUUGCUAUACCAAAAAUUAUUUUACUUUUGCGCAUGUUUCUAUAACAACACACACAUCACUAUAGUGGCAUGGGUGAGUAAGAAUGUCAUACCUCCCUCCCCUGAAUUUCUUACUAUCGCAAUAUAUAUUUAACCCACAAUAUUUUGAGCUAUCCCUUUCAUGAUGAGAUCAAUUUCAGGAGUCCUACUAAACAAAAAUAUGUUUGAAAAAGUGUCAUGAUUUCCCAAUCAACAUUUACCCAAUGCAUUCCCAGGUUGCUCUAAAAAAUAUCUAGCUCAGAUUUCAUCCAAGACUAGCAUAGCCUGAACCUUUAAACUUUAAAAUCCAGGAAAAAUCCUAACCCAAACUUUUUAAAAUGACGAAUUACUCAGAAUGACAGAAGGGUCAUUGCAGAAACUAAGAUUUAAUAUUUAUAGGUUCGAAAUUCUAGUUCUAAAGUUAUAUGAUAGUGUUAUACUAAAUCAAUAAAAAAUUUAAUAUACAUUGGAUCAUAGCUACUAGAUUCAGCAGACUCCAUGCUCAAUGAACUAGCUCCACCCUUGUGUAUAAUUAAUGUAUCACAAUAUAUAAGCUAGGAGUAUUAAAUAGUUUUAAAAAUAGAUAUAUAAAACUUUGAGAAAAGAAAAGUAGAAAAGUAAGAAUUGAAGAAAACAAGUAGGGGUGCGUAUCAGUCAAUCUGAUUUGAUUUUAUAUAUUAUCUGUUCAAUUUUUAUUUGUAAAUACGUUAAACCACUAACUUAACCGAUAAGAUUUAUUUUCUCAAUUUCAGAUUUAUUAAGUUUUUGUCCUUAAUAGUUCGGGUUUUGGUUUAACCGAUUAAAAAAUGCUCAUAUAGAACCAAAUGACUUUUUCAAUAUGUAAGUCAAUAACAAACUAACAAAUGACAUAUCUAUAAAAUAGUUCUAACAUCUAACUGUUAUCUUCAAAAUUUAGUAACAAACAAAACAAAUGUAAGAUCAAUAGGAUCAGCUAUUCAAAUAUACCUACUACAUUCAUCAAAAGAAACUUUCAAUUCUUAGAUGGCUUACAAAGAGACAGAAAGAAAUUAAGAGGAAAGAGAAAAGUAAAUUGAAUAUGGUUUUGUAAAAUCUAAAAUGCUAAUAUAUAGGUAGGGAUAAGGUAGUAGUUUAGUAUAGUUUUAUUGUGUUAUCCGUUUACCCAAUAACCCAAUUAAAGAACCAAAAUUGAACCAAUAACUCAGUAAUUUUUUUUCAAAAUCGUUAAGAAACCAUUAACGCAAUAAACCAAAUAGCAAUACACCAAUAAUAUAUUUUUCGAUUCUAUUUAUUGGCUGAUUCGAAUUUUGCACACCCCUAUUCAAGAGUGAAGUUUAUGGGUUUAUACAAAGGCCUAAAAUUAAUAUUAAACUUAAUAAUUAUGUGCAUUAUUAAAUAUUUAAUAAAUUUAUAAAAAAUAUAUAUAUAUAUAAACAAAAGUUAUUAAAUUCACAUGAAACUUUAGCUUUCGUGCUACAUAUGCCCAUAGGAUUUAACUAAAAAGGUAAAAUGAUCUUUUUAUUAUAUAUAUUUUUAUAUGCUCUUUCCAUAAACAAAAAUUAUAAGUGUAAUGGUAAAGUGGUUCAAAAAUUUUCAACUCUAACAUAUUCAAUUUUUAUAUCUUUUUUAAUCCACUUACAUAAAUUCAUGGCUCAAUAAUUAUUUAUUUAGAGAUAGCAAAAUUAGUUUUUUGAAACUAUAAUCUGCUUAAUUUAUUCAAGUUUGAGAGGGUUGUUGAUCCAUUUAUUUAUCAAAUCAGUUCAUUUUAAUUCAUCAAAAUUUUGGGCUAAUACGUAGUUCAAAUUGACUCAUGAGAAAUCUUGUAAAAAUAACUUUUAUUUAAUAUGUUGUGUAUAAUCAUGAUAAUUUAACAUAAGUUGGUCUGGUUGGUCUUUUAACUUUAAAAAGUAGCCAGAACAAAGAAAAAUAAUUUUAUUAGUUACUACAAAACUGUAAAAGGAUUAAAAAAAUUAAAAAAUAGUAAGAGUGCAUGUUUGGGUUGUGACCUGCAUUUUAAUUCAUCUCAUCUCAAGUAAAUUUUGGAUAGUUUAUUGUUAUCUCAAAGACUUUUGACCCACCCAAAUUCAACCCAACCCAUUAUUUGACACCUUUAUAUAUUUGUACUUGACCAUUAAAUUACCAUUCACGAAAUUAACACUAAGGUGUGCUUGGUAUGAAGGAAAUGUUUUUCCUUUUUCUCGUAUUUGAUUGAUCAAAAAUUUUGAUAAAUAUUUUCAAUAGAAAAAUAAGUUUCUUAACAAUAAUGAAAAUGACUUUCCUAAAAAGAGUAGGGAAAACAAUUUGCAUUGUCUUCUUACCAUCCCUCUGUAAGUAUCAUUUUCAUUGUUAUGUACGAACCUCCCGUUAAAAAUCUCAUGUUAAAAUACUUCUCAGUUUUGAAGUUACAAACUUUUGGCUUGGUUGGUUUCAAACGAAAUUAGAAUGAGGCAUGAUCUAGGAAAAUCAGAGAAUGAUUUGAAUGGAUUUUGUGGCAUUUGACUUAAAUUCUAGAUAGGUAAGAUAAUAAGAAACUCUUAGUAAUUUACGAAAUUGAAUUUGGGUGAGUAGAACUCCCAAAAUUAAUCUUAGCAUAAAGGUCACUAUAUAUUCUGAGUUAAUAGUGUGUUGUAAAAAGAUGGAUUUUAAGGAAGAACUGGACAUUCUGUCUCAAUGACACAACUAGAGUGGCUGGCACAUUGCUAUAUCAAUCGGCACUAUAUCAGAGAAACUCCCACUAUAGUGGUAGUCAAAGGUUGGUCAAUGCUGUUAUAGCGGUGAAAAUCACAGUUUAAUUAAAUAUUUCUUUCAAAAUAGUUUAUUAUUCAGAAACUUGUUUUGGAGCAAAGAAGUGGCGAUUUGGGGUAAUUUACAAUAGAAAUUCUUCAUUUGACUUCAAAAAGGUUAGAAAUUCAUCCUUGUUAACUUGCAAUUGAUAAUUAAGCCUUAGAAUUUCUAAUUUAUAAAGUUCGGUGAGGGCUUUAGGAUAGAAUUUAGUUUUUCCUAAUGAAAGGAAGGAAAUUAAGCAAUAAUUUAAUGAGUUUUAUUAAUUAGCAGUUAAUUUACCCUUCCAUUCCUUUAAUUUAAUAUUUAAGCCAUGGAAUUGAUAGUUUAGGUAAAUUUUGGUAGAAAAGCCCUGAAUCGAAAAAAGAAUGAUCAUGAACUUUACUUUAGGGUUUGGGGUAAGAUAUAAUUCUCGACAUGGUAGGUCAUGAUAUUAAUUACAUACUUAUAUGCCUAUUAUAGACUAUGAGCAAGCGAAAAUUGCAUGAAAGGAUAAAGCCCCGACUUAGAGAAGUGGUGCAAGUUUGGUUUGAGGUAAGUGAUGAUAUUGUAGUUUAAUUGAAUUUGUGUUAUAUGUGCAUGUUAACUACUUUGUAGUAUGGCUUUUUGGGACAUGUUAUUUAGUGUGGUCAAUACAAAUGAUUUUACGAUUGUUAUCUGAUUUUUGACCUAUCUUAUUUGUUAAAUGUAGAAUAUUCUGUAUUUAAAAUAUUAUCACUGACUUUUAGUGAAAAACGGUUUGCAGACACUUGUGUUUGGGGUUUAGUACAUGAAUAGAAAUCAUCUCCUUCAAUUCACGGCUAGAGGGUGAUUAUAUUACCCCUACUGUGUAUGUACGAGGGUCAAGUGAUUUUACAUCUCCAUGAGUGAACCGAGAAAUAUAUUUAUAUACUAAAUAAAUUAUUCUAACUUGUAUUGACUUAACAUGACUAAAUUUGACUGGUAAUAAUAUGUUGAUUUUUUUGUUUUGAUCCCUAAUUGCUUAUUUUAUUGCUUUUUAUGCUAAGUGUGAUUGUUAAGUGUGGAUUAACUUGUUCUACUAUAAUUUGGUUAUGUGUUUAUAUUCCCAUCUUGGGUUGGCCAAAUGACUAUACCAGUACACCAUCGUUUUCUUAUGUGUUAAUAUUACACAUGCUCUUACUUUUGUGAGUGUAGUGUAUAUUUUGGCGGCUCCUACAAGACCUCUGUUGUGAUCCCAGUGGUUGACUUUAGAUUUCACAGUGAACAGUAUAUCUGGGCUACUAUGGAAUCACUCCUUAUUGGCAUUAUUUUUGAACAUAAGUUUCCAUUUCAGUUCUUGGGGUUGCAUCACCUUCUGAACAUUUUUUAGUUGUUUUGGUAAGGAUGACCUUAAGUUUCUAAGGAUAAUUUAUCUUCUUAAGUACAAUUUUUCACCUUUGAUUGCAAUUAAUUUUUUGGUUUAGCCUUGAUUUUAUCUAUUAAUGGAUUAGUUAAUGAUUUUCUAAGAGUUGUUUGUAAGAUGGGGUUUUGGGAUAGAUGGUUCUUCUUCCAGGUGAAUACUGUUGGUGCCAGGUUUUCGAUCAUGAUAACGUAGGUGUUAGAUCCUAGGUUGUUUGAUCUCAGCAUACCAAAUUGAGGUCAGUAGAGUCUCGCAUAACAAUACGAAGAUGUCUGUACUUUUUUGAAAGGUUAUAGGACUUUAGAAAAUUUGUCAUUCUAGUUUCUUUCAUGAUAUAUUUUGAUUCCAAUUGAUAUCUGGCUAUCCAAAUUUGUAUCUAAUCCCAUACAUUAUUUUGUUCGUAGAUGGUGUAUAUUAGGUCCAACAAAACCAUACCAGAAACACCUAUAUCAGCCGCUCCAGCUGUNNNNNNNNNNNNNNNNNNNNNNNNNNNNNNNNNNNNNNNNNNNNNNNNNNNNNNNNNACCGCCAAGGUUAUAGCUCAAGCGGUGGUUUACCGAACACUUGAGAGGUCAGUAUCACCCUCCCCCCAAUGAUGUACCAUGGUUUCAUGGCACUUUUGAUGUUUUAAAUUAUGAAAAGAUAAAAUACUUAGGCCAUUUUGUUAGAUAUGAUGUGGGUUUUGUGUGUGUUGUGGGAAAAUUAGGUUGGAAGGAGAAUGGAGCGGAAUAAGAUGAAAAAGAGCUGAAAAUCAAAGACACUUACUGGACUACAAGUCGUUAUAUGACUAUAAGACUCGUAGCCCAAGUCAUGGUGAUAAAAGUGAAGGUUGUUGAUUCUAAAAGUGAAUUUGAGGUUGACCACGACUCAUUAAGAGUUACAACAAUUUGUGGUGUGAGUCAUUCAGAACAAAUUCAUGAAAGUCGUGAAGAGAGCCAAGUUAAAGCCCAAAAAGAAAUAGAAGAAGACUAUAUGUCAUCAUGAUAGGGUACGACUUGUAGUGAGAAGUCGUUCUGACAACAGAGAGAAAAGUCCUCAAAGGUGAAAAUAUACUAGAGUGAUAAUGUAGUAUCUGACCAUAAGUCCUCAUCACUCAGCACAAAUAGAAGGCAACAGAGUAGACAACGAGUCAUCAUUAGACCAGACGACCCGUUGCCUAAGGUGUAGCCACUACCGACUUUAUUUUCCUAUUUUUUUUAUUAGGUUUUCUUUGUUAUUUUGAGAAACUAUAAAUAUCCAUUGGAUACUCUUGUAAUAGGUUACCACUCAUACGAUUCUCAAAUACAUAUUUGAUUCUAAGAUUGAAUUUUGAUCUUGGAAUCUAUUUAUUCUUGGUUUUUGGUUGAUUAAUUGAUUUGAGGCUUUGGGUUUCUUGGUAAAUUAUUUUUGAGAUUAUUCUUAUGAUUUUUAUUGAGUUUAAUGGAUUGUUUCGCAACUAUGAGCGACUAAUUCCCUUAACUAUGGUUAUGGGAACCAUGGCAGAAUAACAAAGUAGGGGAAGUGUGAUGUUUUUCAAGAUCACUAUUUACACUUACAUUGUGAUCUUCUUCAGUUUAAUUGCUUUCUUAGUGGUGAAAAACUCUAAGAACCUGUCUGUAUUCGAGAUCCUCUUUACAAGAGAGACUAAUAUUGGUAAAUGGAGAUUAUAAUAGUGAUUCGAGGCUAUCAACCCUCGUCUAAUAACUUGAUACCCACAAGAUGAUAGUUAAACUGGGAUUAAAGACAAGGGUUAGAAAUGUGUCACCCUGAGACUCACAAGGUGAAGGGUGAGAUUUACCAACGCAUUCAUAAGAUGGUUAGCAAUACCUAGCUUAUCCAAUUCUGCAUGUAUGGCAGUGAGAUAGUUAGAUAGGGCAUGAGAAACCUACUAAGUUAGGAAGCUAAGGGAACACAGUCCUAGUGCUCAUCUCAGAUUGUUUACAACCAAAAGCAUUCCAACUUGUUACUUUUUAUUAUUUACUACAAAAUCCUGUCAUUAGCUUUACUGUAUUUUUAGCUACUUUAUCAAGUUCGAGAGAUGGAUUUAACCUAUUCCCUGUGGUAUCAAACCUAACCUAGUUGGGUUACUAUAAUUUGAUGGCGACUACAUUGUAUCUUUUUGGAGGGUAUAGUUUGGGAGACAUCAAAUUUUGGCAUCAUUGCCGGGAAAUAUGGUUCAAGAUUUGUUGAUUAAAGUUGUAGAGGUUUUCUAUGUUUACUUUUCUGUUCUUCUUAGGGAGUACAUCGGUGUAUUCCCAGUACUAAGAGUCAAGGUAAUUCUUUGAUCCCAUUUAAUUUAGAGCCAAAAAAAUCCUACAACAGAAUCAUAGGAUGUCACAACACGGUCAUGAUGCUCAUCAUGAGCUACCUCAAGAUGAUCCACAAGACUUGCCUCCCCCCACCUCCUCAUGAGAUAGUAGAGCAAACCACUGAGCGGUUACUAUUAGAGGUUAAUACAAAUAGGAAUAAUGAGGUUGCCCAACGUCAGCUCAAGAGGUAGAAAGGGCGAGACAGACACCAAUAGAUGAUCGCCAAGCAGAAAACAAUAGAGGUAGAAGAGAUAGAGCUCCAGUACCCCCAACUUUUUAGUACUUCCAAGUAUAUGAAUAUCUACAUAAAGACUUAGGUAUGUAUAGACUAUUGAGACAAGAGCCAUCAUUCCUCUUGUACUACCCCUGGGGGUAAAGUUCAACAUUAAUAGUACUAUGAUCCAGUUAUUUAAUCUGAAAGGUGUGUUUGUUGUCUUGCCAACUGAUGGUGCAAACAUGCACUUUAUUAAUUUUGUUGGGAUUUUCACUUCAUACACUAUACCUAGGGUAGAUUAGAAAGCUCUUAAACUUAGGUUGUUCCUAUUCUCUCUAACUAGUGAAGUGACAUUAUGUCAGGGAAAUUACCUUGUGUGUCCAUUACUAGUUGGAAUGAGCUGCGAAAGUAGUUGUUAGAUAGUUUCAUCCCUUCGACCAUAAUUCUACUGUUGAAGAAUGUGGUUUAUAAUUUUAGGCAAUUACAAUCUGAAUUUAUAUAUAAGGCAUGGUUUUGAUUUAAGAAGAAGUUGAUGAUGGUGCCUAAUCACAAAAUUUUAGGGAGAAAUCUACUGGAGAUUUUCUAUUGUGCCCUGAAUACUAGUUUUAGAGCUAUGGCAGAUACUGUUACUGGUGGAGCAUUGAUGAACCUAUGUUCGGAUGUAGCAUCAGAAAUCAUAGAUUGAAUUUCUCUUACCAACCGAGGGUGGCAUACUCAGGAGGAAGAGAGAGAUAUUGGCACUUAUCCUAUUGGUGCUUCCAAUAAUCCUAUAGUCGUUGAUAAUUUAGUGGCUCAAGAGGUUACACAGUUAAGAAUGGAGAUUGGGUUACUGAAAAAUCAGUUCACAAUGAUGAAUUCUGAGAAGGUGAAUAUUGUGGGACACAAGGUAAAGCUUUUAGUUUAUAUAAUUCUGAUGUGGAUGAAGAGAAAAAGUAUCUAGAUAGAAAGUUGGCAGGUUUUUUAGCCAAGGGUCAAUCAUUUACUCAAGACAAUUGGAACUCAAGGCAAGGAAAUCAAGGUUGGAACUACUAUAAAGAUAGAUAUAGAAAUAAAAGUAGAGAGAGAGAUAGUGACUAGAGACUUAAAGAUGAUUAUAAGAAAAAAAGUGGUGCAUAUGUUCCAUCGAGGAACUGUGACAUUAAAUCAAGGAUGAAGUCUAUGUUGUUAAAGGUGGUAAAGGUUCAAGAAAGUUAGGAGAGUUACCUUAAGGAGAUUAAGACAGAUAUUUCAAGUUUGACAUAAAAAGUAGGAUCAAAUGCUACUGCAAUCAAGCAAUUGGAGUAGCAUUUUGGAGAGAUUUCAGCAAAUUUGAAUCAACAUCAAUCAAGCACCCUUUUGAGUAAUAUAAUGCAGAAUCCAAAGAACAACAAUCACUAUUUAGACAUCACCACUAGGGGUGGUAAGGCCACCAUUGAUCAUCCCAUGCCUGUAGUUAAUGAAUCUAGGAAUGAUAAUGAUGAUGACAUAGAUAAGGCACCGGAAGCGGAAUCUGAAAAAUUGGUGACUAGUGUGGAGUCAUCACAAAAAUUGGUAGGUAUUGAUAAAAGUGUUGAGAAGGAUAAAUCAAAGAAGAAGGUAUUCGAUCAUGUGCUAAAGAUCAUUCCACAACCUCUCUCUCCUUUUCAUUGGAGAUUAAAGAAAAAAUAAGAUGAAGGGAAGUAUCAGAAGUUCUUGUCAAUAUUAAAGUAAUUGUCUAUUAAUAUUUCUUUUGUAGAGGUAAUAGAGCAUAUUCCUAGCUACACUAAGUUCAUAAAGAAUUUGGUUACUAAAAAGAAGAUGGUGAGUUUUAAGCCCACUGAUAAUGAUCAUCAUUAUAGUGUCGUUGUUUUUUUAUCGUUGGUUGAGAAAAAAGAGGACCCUAAAGCAUUUAUUAUUCCAUGUACCAUUGGGUCCUUUACUUCUCCAGAUCUUUAUGUGAUUUGGGAGCUUGUAUCAAUCUUAUGUCAUUGGUUGUAUAUAAAAAGUUAUGGUUAGGGUCACCCAAACCUACAUCCAUGAGGUUAUUGAUAGCUGAUUGGAUUGUGAAGAAACUAGUUAGUAUUUUGGGUGAUGUUUUGGUGAGGGUAUCAUCCUUCAUAUUCCUAAUAGAUUUCAUGAUCCUUAAUUAUGAUGUGGACUUUGAAGUCUAUAUUAUCUUAGGAAGGCCUUUUCUAGCUACGGGUAGGGCCUUGUUUGACAUGGAGAUGAGGUAGGUGAAGUUCAGACACAACGAUGAGCAAAUUACUUCUAAUAUAUGUCAGUCUAUGCAAUAGCCGAAGGAUAUGAGAGUAGUGUCCAUGACUCAGACUAUUGAUGAUGAUACAGUUACUAUGCCCAUUGAAUAGAGACUUGGGGUUAAGGCGUUAGCAGUAGUUAUCAUGAACUUUGAUAAUAAUGGAAUCAAUGAGUAUGAUGAGAUGGUGAGCAUGUACUAAGUUAGAGAUUGUUAUAAUUAUGAUCUGAAGAAGCUGGAUAUUGAAAUAAAGAACAGAACCACUCCUCCAGCUCGACCAUCUAUUGAGGAUCCAUCGGACAUAGAAUUGAAGGCCCUCCCAUCUCACUUGUGUUAUGCAUUUUUAUGGGCCGAUAAUACCUUGUCGGUUAUUAUUGUUGCUGAUUUAUUGGAGACAUAGGUUGAAGCAUUGAUUUCAGUGUUGCAUAGGCUUAAAGAGGCCAUAGAAUGGACUAUUGCAAACAUUAUAGGGAUUUCAUCCAAUAUUUACACUUAUAAGAUAUAGCUUGAACCAUAAUGUAUAUCGAACAUCAAGCACCAGGGUAGGUUGAAUCCUCAUAUACAAGAGAUAAUGAAGAAAGAAAUCAUCAAGUGGUUGCAUGCUAGAGUGGUCUACCCCAUUGCGAAUAGCAAGUAGAUCAGCCCAAUUUAAUGUAUUCCAAAGAAGGGUGGGAUAACUGUAGUCCCUAAAGACAAGAAUGAAUUGGUGCCCAUGAGAUCGGUCACUGGAUGGAGAGUGUGCAUGGAUUACAGGAAAUUGAAUACUUGGACUCAAAAGGACCAUUUCCCUAUUCCAUUCAUGGAUUAGAUUCUUGAUAGACUCGCAGGUAAGGGUUGGUACUAUUUUCUUGGUGGGUACUCAAGAUACAAUCAGAUUUUAAUUGCUCCCAAAUAAUAGGAAAAGACAACUUUUAGUUGCCCUUCUAAGACUUUUGCAAUCAAAAAAAUGUCGUAUAGACUUUACAAUGCUCUCGCCACCUUUCGGUGAUGUAUGAUGUCUAUAUUUUCUGAGAUUGCAGAGGACACCAUAUAGGUAUUCAUGGAUGAUUUUUUGGUAGUUGGAGGCUCUUUUGAUGAUUUCUUGGCCUAUUUGUCCAACGCACUCCAACGAUGUGAGGAAUGAAAUUUAGUGCUAAAUGAGGAGAAGUGCCAUUUUAUGGUGCAGGAACGUAUUGUUCUUGGUUAUAAUAUCUCAAAGAAGGGUGUUGAGGUGGAUACAGCAAAGAUUGAGGUGAUUGAAAAAUUACCUCCUCCAGUCUUCGUUAAAGUUAUCCAAUCUUUUUGGGUCAUGCUGGAUUUUAUAGGAGUUUUGUCAUGGACUUCUCUAAAAUUACUAAUUCUCUGUUCACGAUUAAUUUGUACUUGAUGAUGCAUGUCUCAAGGUCUUUGACUAUCUUAAGGAGCGGUUGAUCUCGACUCCUAUUAUUGUGUCCUCGAUUGGUCCUUACUAUUUAAGGUUAUGUACAAUCCUAAUGGAGUGGCCUUGUGUGUUGUCCUUGGCAAAUAAGUGAGAAAAUCCUUCACUCGAUCUAUUAUGCCAGCAAGGCAUUAAACCUUGCACAGAAGAACUAUCCAGUCACCAAGCAGGAGUUGCUCGUAGUAGUUUUUGCCUUUGAGAAGUUCUAGUCCUAUUUGUUAUGAACCAAAGUCAUAGUUCACACAAAUCAUGUAGCUUUGAGAUAUCUAAUGUCAAUAAAGGAUGCUAAACCAAUGAUGAUAUGUUGGGUCCUCUUAUUUCAAGAAUUUGACUUAGAGGUAAAAUAUCAAAAGGGCAACGAGAACAAGCUUAUUGAUCACUUAUCUCGCCUUAAGGAAGAGGCAAUUCAGAAGUUAGGGGAUGAGCUUGACAUAAAUGAUACUUUUCCAAAUAAGAAAGUCUUGGUAGUAUCUCAAGUCUUAAUCCCCUAGUUUGCUUAUUUUGCCAACAUUUUGGUAAGUGUUCUAGUUUUUGAAUAUUUGUCAUUCCAGAAGAGAAAUUGGUUCAUACAUGAGGUGGUAAAAAUUUGCUAGCAUAAGUCGUAUCUCUUUCAGAUUUGUGUAGAUGGUGUUGUUUGUAGAUGUAUUUCUGAAGUGAAGAUAAUAAGCAUCCUUGAGGCUUGUCAUUCAUCACCAGUUGGGGGUCAUCAUGAUGGUACCCUCAUAGCCCAUAAGAUUCUACAGUGUGGGUAUAAUUAGCCUACUAUCUAUAAGGAUACCCAUGCAUUUGCCAAAGCCUGUGACCAGUGUCAGUGACAAGGCAAUAUUUCACAGAGACAUAAAAUCCCCAUGACAUCUAUUCUAGAGUUGGAGUUGAUUGAUGUAUGGGGAAUUGACUUCCUGGGUCCAUUUGUGGGCUCUAUACGAUAAAGUACAUUCUAGUGGUAGUUGACUAUGUUUCGAAGUAGGUGGCGGUGGUUGUUCUUCCCAAUAAUGAGGGUUAAUGUGUCAUUGUGCUAUUGAAAAAGAAUAUAUUUUCUAUGUUUCGCACUCCACGUGUGAUUGUUAGUGAUAGUGGGUCUCACUUCUGCAACCAUCUUUUCAAGGCCUUACUCAAAAAAUAUUGUGUGAAGCAUAAGGUGGCAACACCUUGCCAUCCUUAGAUGAGUGUGCAAGUUGAGGUCUCAAAUAGAGAGAUCAUGUCCAUAAUGGCGUAGACUAUGAAUGCCACUAACUAGUCAAGGAUGUAGCAUGAUGCUUUGUGGGCCUACUGGACAUCUUUUAAGACCCUUAUAGGUUCCUCACCAUAUCAUCUUGUGUACUGCAAGGCAUGCCAAUUGCCAGUUGAAAUUUAGCACAAGAUAUUAUUAUAACACUUCAUAUUUCCCUAGUAUAAUCUAAGUCCCAAUAAAUGAGUAGUCAUGUAUAAAAUUCUGAAACACUCGUUAUUUUUCAGUUUAUAGAACAUGCCUCCCAAGAAGAACGGAAGAAGAAUAAGCUCUCAGCCAGCCCCUCAGCUCAUCCAGGCAGAUCGUCUGGAUGAGCAUGUCUCUCACGCAAAAUUUAGGGUUGUGUUCACUACUCUAGUAAACUCCAUAGCAGCAAAGAAUGAACAGCCAGGUGCACUUUCGGCCAACCCAGUGGCCAAUAUUGCUGCAACCAGAAUUCAGGAUUUCACCCGAAUGAAUCCUCCUUCCUUCAUGAAGUCUAAGUCUGAAGAGGAUCCAUAGGAAUUCUUAGAUAUGGUUCAGAAGGUAACGGAUGCUAUGGGGGUGAUGUCUAGUUAGAGUGCCAAGUUGGAUGCAUAUCAAUUAUAGGGUAUAGCCCAUACUUGGUUUAAGCAGUGGAAAGUUGAUACAGGUGUUGAUGAAGAGCCUAUAGAAUGGGAAGAGUUUGCCACGACUUUCUUAGACAGAUUUUUUUUAUUAGAGUUGAGAGAGGCCAAGGUGUUAGAAUUUAUUAAUUUGAGGCAAGGCAGCAUGAGUGUGAGGGAGUAUUCCCUCAAAUUUACUCAGUUAGCUAGGUAUGCUCCUCAUGUGGAAGCUAAUAAUAGGUCCAAGAUGAGUAAGUUUGUAUCUGACGUAUCUGAUAAUGCGGUUAAGCAGCGCAGAACCGCAAUGCUGAUUAGUGAGAUGGACUUGUCUAAACUGAUGUUCCAUGCUCAACAGAUAGAGGGGAAAAUAUUAAGGAGAGAGAGAGAGGAAAUAAGAGAGCUAGGAUGGGUAGUUUUAAUUUUAAUCAGCCAAAGUCAGAAGGUGGCAACCGUCCUCAUUUUCAUCAAAGGUCUACAGCCCUAGCACCCUCUUCAGCCAGUGCCCCAGUAUCUAAAUUCAAAAAUGACAAUAAGGAUAGGUCACCAGGAUCUAAGUCCCAAUUUAGUGUUAGUAGUGCUCGUAUAAAUCCUUUAUGUCAUAAGUGUGGCAGACACCAUCAAAGUUAGUGUAGAGUGGCAAGUGAUGUGUGCUUUGGGUGUGGCAAUCUAGGCCAUCGAAUUUGAGAGUGUCGAGUAGUUUCUCAGAAAGGUAGGGAUACGCGCCAAUAAGUCCAGUCCCAUCAGUCAUCUGUUCUAUCUGGUCGCCCAACUCAGAAGGGUGUUGCUUCCAAUGCUACCAGUAGUCAGUAUCCAAACAGAUUAUAUGCUCUUCAGUACCACCAAGAUCAGGGAAAUUCUCCUAACGUAGUACGUUAUAGGUCUUUCACUUACAUGUUUAUACUUUACUUGACCCUGGAGCUUCUAUUUCUUUUGUAACUCCAUAUAUAGCUGUCAAUUUUAGAGUCAGUCUUGAAAAUAUAGCAGAGCCCUUUUUAGCAACUACCCCAGUGGGUGUUUCAAUUGUAGACAGAUAGGUAUACAGGAACUGUCCAGUCACAAUAUCUCAAAAAGUUACAUCAGUUGAUCUCGUGGAGUUGGAGAUAACAGAUUUUGAUGUCAUUCUCGACUUGGAUUGGAUCCACUCAUGCUAUGCCUCAGUUGAUUGUAGAAACAAAAUAGUUCAUUUUUAGUUUCCAAAUGAACCAUUCCUUGAAUGGAGGGGUAGUACUAUAGCUCUUAGGGGAGAGUCAGUUGAUUUCUUAACUUAGAGCUAGAAAGAUGAUAUCCAAGGGGUGUGUCUAUCAUCUUGUACGAGUCAAAGACUCUAACUUAGAAAAUCCUACUCUUGAGUAAGUCCCAGUAGUAAAUAAAUUCUCAGAUAUAUUUCCUAAAGAUCUCCUUGGAUUUUCUCCCAAAAGGGAAAUCAAUUUCGGAAUUGACUUUCUCCCAGAUACUCAGCCUAUAUCUAUUCUGCCGUACAGAAUGGCUCCAACUGAACUCAAAGAACUAAAAGAAUAGUUGAAUAAUCUCAUAGAUAAAGGAUUCAUAAGACCCAGUGCCUCCCCGUGGGGCCCACCUAUUCUAUUCGUGCAUAAGAAAGACGAUUCUUUCAGAAUGUGCAUAGACUACCGUCAGUUGAACAAUGUCACAGUCAAUAAUAAAUAUCCACUUCCUAGAAUCGAUGAUUUUUUUGACCAACUUUAGGGUGCCAAUUACUUUUUCAAGAUAGACCUCAAAUCAGGCUAUCAUCAGCUUAGAGUUAGAGAACAUAACAUUCCAAAAAUAUCUUUUUGAACUCGGUAUGGUCACUUUGAAUUUCUAGUCUGUUCUUUGGUAUUACAAAUGCCCCAGUAGCCUUCAUGGAUUUGAUGAAUCGAGUGUUCAAGCAGUACUUGGACAUGUUCGUCAUAGUCUUCAUUGAUGACAUUCUUGUCUAUUCUCAUAGCAAAAGAGAUCAUACAGACCAUCUCAGCAUAGUGCUUCAGACUCUUAGAGCUCAUCAGUUGUUUGCUAAAUUCAUUAAGUGUGAAUUUUGUCUAAGAUCAGUAGCAUUUCUUGGUCAUAUUAUUUCUGGUGAUGGCAUUAUAGUUGAUCCUCAAAAGACUGAAGCAGUGAGAAACUGGCCUAGACUCAUCUCUUCAUCAGAUAUCAGGAGUUUCUUAGGUUUAGCUGGCUAUUAUCGUUGGUUUGUUAAAGGGUUUUCUUCUAUUGCUUCCCCCAUGUCCAGAUUGACUCAGAAGAAAGUUAAGUUUCAGUGGUUAGAUUCAUGUGAGAAGAGUUUUCAAGAGUUGUAGACUCGACUCACCUCAGCCCCAAUCUUGACUCUACCAGAUGGUUCAAAUGGCUUUGUUAUAUACUGUGAUGCAUCCAAAGUAGGUUUGGGUUAUGUCCUCAUGCAGAGAAGUAAGGUCAUAGCCCACUCCUCCAGACAGCUUAAAACCCAUGAGAAGAAUUAUCCGACUCAUGAUCUUGAGCUAGUAGCUAUAGUGUUUGCCUUAAAGAUUUAUAAACAUUACUUGUAUGGGGUGCACUUAGAUGUGUUCACAGAUCACAAAAGCCUUCAGUAUGUGUUCUCUCAGAAAGAUUUGAAUUUGUGUCAGAGAAGAUAGUUAGAGUUAUUGAAAGAUUAUGACAUGAGUAUUCUGUAUUAUCCGAGCAAGGCCAAUAUAGCGGUUGAUGCUUUCAAUAGAAUGUCUAUGGGUAGUGUAGCUCAUGUUGAGGAUGGUAAGAAAAAGUUAGCUCAGGAAACUCAUCAGCUUGCACGACUAGGUGUCUGUUUACUCAAUUCAGCAGAAGGUAGUGUGUGGGUGCAGAAUAGCUCAGAUUCAUCUCUAGUCUCUGAGGUAAAGGAAAAGAAGGAUAGAGAUCCCAGUCUGGUUAAGUUGAAUAAAUUAGUCAGAGAUCAAAAAGUGGAGGUUUUCUCCCAAGAGGGAGAUGGUGUUUUGCAGUAUCAGGGUAGAUUAUGUGUGCCUAGUGUAGAAGAGUUGAGGCAAUGAAUUCUUGUAGAAGAGCAUGGGGCGCGUUACUCUAUUCAUCCAGGGGCCACUAAGAUGUACCACGAUUUGCGAGAGAUCUAUUGGUAGAGUGGGAUGAAGAGAGAUAUUGUAGAGUUUGUAGUUAAGUGCUCUACAUGUCAGAAAGUUAAGGUUGAUCACCAAAAACCUAGUGGGUCAAUGAAGGAGUGCAGUAUUCCCAUGUGGAAAUAGUAGAAAGUGAACGUGAACUUUGUGAUAGGUUUGCCUCAUCCCCGCCAUCAGCAUGACUCUAUUUGGGUUAUCGUAGACGGGAUUACCAAAUCAGCUUAUUUCUUGCCAGUUCGUACCUCUUAUUCAGCCUAAGACUAUGCCAAUCUCUAUCUCAGAGAGUUAGUUAGGUUGCACGGUAUUCCCUUAUCUAUUAUCUCAAAUAGAGAUGCUCAGUUUACCUAUUACUUCUGGAAAGUAUUCUAAAAGGGUCUUGGUACCCAAGUUCACCUCCAGCCUUCCACCCUCAGACAGAUGGUCAAGCAGAAAGGACCAUUCAGACUCUUAAGGAUAUAUUAAGAGCAUGCGUUGUUGAUUUCAAGGGCUGUUGGGAUGAUCAUUUUUCUUUGAUUGAAUUCACAUACAAUAACAAAUAUCAUUCCAGUAUCUGUAUGGCUCAAUUUGAGGCACUCUAUGGUAUGAGAUGUAGAACUCCAAUUGGUUAGUUUGAAGUAGGUGAGGCUGUAGUAGUAUGGCCUGACUUGGUGUUUUAUGCGUUAAAAAAGGUUCAGUUGAUAAAAAAAAGGCUUAGGGCUGCCCAGAGCCUCCAAAAAUUAUAUGCAGAUGUGAGGAGAAAGGGUCUCAAGUUUGAGGUAGGUGACUUUGUGUACUUGAAAAUCUCUCUCAUGAAGGGAGUGAAGAGUUUUGGCAAGAAAAACUCAAUUCUCGAUAUGUCUUUCCCUUCAGAAUUCUCAGUCAUUUUGGAAAGGUAGCUUACGAGCUUGAGUUGCCUUCAAUUUAGCCUCAGUACACCCAGUGUUCCAUGUCUCAUUAUUGAAAAAGUGUGUUAGUGAUCCAACCGUAGUUGUUCCCUUUGAAAGUGUAGAUAUUUAGAACAGUCUUUCCUUUGAGGAAGUCCCAGUCGAAAUUCUUGAUCAUCAAGUUUGUAGACUAAGGAACAAAGAAGUUUCACUAGUCAAAGUUCUUUGGCGGAAUCAAUCCAUUGAGGGAGCCACUUGGGAAGCAGAGGCAGAUAUGAGGACCAAGUACCCUCAUCUCUUCUCCGCGAAUUCAAAUUUAGUAUGAGGUACCAAUCUUCUUAAGAUUUUCUUUUCUCUCCAUCAAGCUCAGUUUCAGUUGCACAUCAUGUUUAUGUCAAUCGUGUAUUCAUGAAUCAGUUCAGUCAUGCAUUCUAAGCAUCAGACAUGCAUAUUCAGUGUGUAAGCUCAAUCCACCAGUUCCCACAUCUUAACCAGUUUCAUUCGAGGAUGAAUGAUCACAAGGGGGAGAUAUUGUAACACCCUGUAUUUCCCUAGUAUAAUCUAAGUCCCAAUACAUAAGUAUUCAUUUAUAAAAUUUUGAAACACUCAUUAUUUUUCAGUUUAGAGCCUUCCAUUGAGCAGGAAAUUCAGUUACCUUUCCAAGGAUAUAAAAUUCGCCUAAAUCCAAUAACCAGGUAAGAAGUUAUGGCAAUUUUAAGUUUAAGCCAUUAAACACCCUCAUUUUAAAAUUUAGCGCGUCACGAAGCAGGCCAAUCCCCCAUUUGGUAAAUUCCAGUGAGGGUCCGCAAUCCUGGCGCGUCGCGCCAUAGGUCAAUUUGACAUUUGUCCAUUUCCAGUAUCAAAGCAAGAUACCACCGCGUCGCGGUGAACUUUCAGGUCCCUAUCAGUGAAGGACCACGAUUUCCCCGCAUCGCACCGUAGACCAGUUUCCCAAUUAUCCAAUUCCAGUGACACGGCACGAUAGCGCCGUGUCGCGCCAAACCAAAAAAUUGAGAUUUUCAGUUAGUUCUGAGUUUUAAUUCCAAAGGCCUUUAAGUACUUUUCCCUUAUCCCAGUUAACCCCAAAUACAAAAUUAAGUCCCUAAUAACCAAACUGGUCAUUAUUCUAGUCAAUUAUUCCCUAAAAACAAGAACAUUUCCUCAAGUAGCAAAACCCUAACCUUCAAGAAUCAAGGUCAAACCUCAAGAACUCUCCAGCAAUCCUUUCAAAUUCUUCAUCCUAAGUAUGUUAGUUGUUCAUCCAUGGAGUCCAAGUAUUCGUUUUAAUUAUAAAUCUAUCAUAUUUUCAAGAUUUAUGAUAUUAAAUUAUGAUUUAAAACUAUGAAUCUCCAUGAACUUCCAUGAAUAUUGAUUUUAUACUAUACUUUAAUGGAAUUAUCGUUGUUAUCAAAUCCCCCAUGUUUUAAUAUUGUCAUUCUUUGAAUUAGAUCAUGAUUUAGUGUUAUAAAUGUUGAAGUCAUGCUAUUAUUUCAAGUUUUAUACUAUUCCCAUGAAUUAACUUAACUAUGAACUACAAUUAUUUGAUAAAAUGCCUACAAGAGUGAAUUAUUUAGUAAGAGCCUUCCUAGUUUGGCCUUCAAGCUUUAGUGUCUUUUCAGUAUUAUUGUUUUGAGUCCCGGGGGUAUUGAAUACCCAAAAACCAUAGUUGUUAAUUUAGUCUAGCCUCAGUACAUUACAGAAUAGUCUUCAGAUUAUAUUAUGAGCAUUAUCAGAAUAGUCAAAUAUCAGAUAUUUAACUCAGAACAAUCUAGUAUCUCGGUGUCUUUUAGUUAGGAAUAGAAUUUAGCACCGAGCGAGUGUAAGGACAGUGGAUUCCCCAUCAGAUAGGCAGAGUCAUUAGUAGCAGUCCCUAUACUCCAGAACUACGUAGACAGUGUAAGAUAUGAGUAGUCACCCGUCAGAUUAGCCUUGACUAUCUCGCAUGGGUCACCCGCCAGUUCAGGCUUGACACCCUUAGUCCUUUGGACAUUAUAUCAAUUUAGUGGAUCCACACAGCCAUUGUUAGUUCCCGUGGCAUGGUAUUAACACCCUUCCAACUGGGGUUAUGGGUUGGACCCCUAUUAGCCCAAAUUAUAGAAUAUCGGUUAGAUGAUACCUCCCACAGUCUCAGUUACAGUCCCAGCUCAGUUAUUCAGUCUUAGUGUUGUUUGACCAAAGCAUACAGAUUUUAGUUAUUUCAGUAUUUUAGUUUAAAGAUUUUACUCAGUUAUGUUAUAUGCUUGGUCAUGCACAUUUUUUUAUUCUAUGCACAUUGUUGGAACUUCUUUGUGAGUAUGAGUGCCUUAGGACCAUCCCCGUAUUAACAUGCAUAAUUUAUUUGAGUGAGUAGGACUUCUUUGUUGUGAAGUUAUAUGGAUUGUAUUGCUAGCUGCUUAUUUGUUUAGGUAAUAUAACUUGUACAUAUGUAUGAUUGUUUAUUAAUAGUGUAAUUCCAUAGCAUGAUUUCUUUGUGUUAUGUUGUUGUGCAACAUAAAUCCACACAGUUGGUCAUGAAAAGUAAAAAUAAGAGGUGGUGAGGUUUGCGAGCUGAAUUUGAGAUUGACUGCCAUAGGUAUCUUAGGUUUUUCGUGGUUAAGCAUCGUGUUUUGUUUUUGUUGUAUUUUUGUUUCCUGAGGACAUGCAAAUGUUCUAAGUUGAGGGUGUUGAUGUGUCAUGGUUUCAUGGAACUUAAGAUGAUUAAAACUAUGAAAAAAUGCAAAUACUUUGGCCAUUUUGUUUGAUAUGAUAUGUGUUUUGUGUGUGUUGAAGGAAAAUUAGGUUGGAAGUGGUAUGGAGAAGAAUAAGAUGAAAAGGAGUUGAAAAUCAAAGGCCCUAACUAGACUAUGAGUUGUUAUAUGACUAUACAACUCAUAGCCCAAGUCGUGGUGAUAACAAUGAAAAUUGUUGAUUCUAGGAGUGAAGUUGAGGCUGACCUCAACUCGUUGGGGAUGACAAUAAGUUGUGGUGUGAGUCAUUUUGGGCAAAUUUUCAAAAGUCCUAAGGAGAGCCAAGUUAAAGCCCCUAUGGAAAUAGAAGAAGACGAUGAGCCGUCAUGACAGGGUACGACUUAUAGUGAGGAGUUGUUCUGACAAAAAAGAGAAAAAUCCUGAAAGGUGAAAAUCGACUGGAGUGAUAACGGGUCCAACUAAUGACUUAUAGUGUCUUACCACAAGUCACCAUCACUCAACACAGAAAGAAGGCAAUAGAGCUGACAAUGAGUCAUGUCAGUCCAAACGACUCGUUGCCUGAGGCGUAGCCACUACCGACUUUAUUUUUAUAUUUUUUUGUUAGGUUUUCUUUAUUAUUUUGAGAAACUAUAAAUACCCAUUGGAUACUUUUGUAAUAGUUUAUGCACUUAAACUAUUCACAAACAUAUAUUUGAUUCUAAGAUUGAAUUUUGAUCUUGGAAUCUCUUUGUUCUUGGUUUUUGGUUGAUUAAUUGAUCCGAGACUUUAGGUUUUCUUCAUAAAUUAUUUUUGAGAUUAUUCUUAUGUUUUCUUUAUUGAUUUUCAUGGAUUGUUUCGCAACUAUGAGCGGCUAAUUCCCUUAGAUAUAGUUGUGGGAACCAUGGCAGAAUAGCAAAGUAGGGGAAGUGUGAGGUUUUCUACAUCAUUAUUUACACUUGCAUUAUGAUCUUUUUCAGUUUAAUUGCUUUCUUAGUGUGGCCAACUCUAAUAACCUAUAACAAGAGAGAUUAAGAUUUGGAAAAAGAAAUUACAACAGUGAUUUGAGGCUAUCAAUCCUUGUCUAAUAACUUGAUACCCACAAGGUGAAAGUUAAACUAGGAUCAAAGACAAAGGUUGGCAAGGUGACACCCUGAGACUUACAAGGUGAAGUAUGAGAUUUACCAACGCGUUCAUUAGAUGGUUGGUAAUACCUAGCUUGGCAGAUUCUGCAUAUGUGGUAGUGAGAUAGUUGGAUAGGGAAUAAGAAACCUACUGAGUUAGGAAGCCAGGAUAACACAGUUCGAGUGUUCAUCUCAAGUUUUUUACAACCAAAAUCAUUCACAACUUGUUACUUUUUACUUUUUAGUACAAAAUCCCCUUAUUUACUUUUCUACACUUCCGUUUACUUCAGUAAGUUUGAGAGACGGAUUCGACCUAUUCCAUGUAAGAUCGACCCCAACCUUGUUGGUUUAUUAUAAUUUGAUAGCGACCGCAUUGUAUCUUUUUGGAGGGCAUAAUUUGGGCGACAUCGUCUCACCUCCAGAUCAUUUGGAGAAGAUAGAAGUAGUAUAUGAAUAGGGUGUAGAGCCCAAGGUAGCAGCUCAAAUUAAGGUUGUGGGACUACCUCAAAUGUCUACUGAGAUUGUGCAGCAAGUGUUAGCUUUUGUGAAUUGGUUGGCAAGGACUAGAGCUACUCCCACGAUACCAUCUUACCAUGCUCAAGUUGUUUUCCUACUAUCACUAUGGCUCCUAGAAUGGAUGAAUCUUCAGGGACCAGUGCUUUUUCUCAUCUAGUUUUUGGUUUCAUGAUGACGGGUACAAAACAUAAACUAUUGAUAAAAUUUCUAAAGAUAAAACCUCCAAUAUUCUUGGGUAUUGAGUCGAUAAAUGUGUUUGAGUUCAUCAUUGAUUGCUAUGGGAGGUUACACAAGAUGGGUGAUGGGUAUUAUGAAGAAACAUAGAGUUGAGUUUGUGACCAUUCUAUUGGAGAGGUAUUCUAAGCAAUGAUGGAGGGCAUGUGUUGAAUAUUAGUCACUAGCUUUGCCUCCAUUGACUUAAGAGAAGUUUCAUGCUUUGUUCUUAGAAAAGUGUAUGUCAUGGGCCUUUCGUGACCACAAGAAAGAUAAAUUAUUGGCACUGGAAUAGGGAAACAUGUUAGUUGCAGGCUAUGAGGCUAAGUUUCAUGCUUUAUCUCUCUAUGCCACUCAGUUGUUAACCUUUGAAAAAGAAAGGAUUUGCCUCUACGUUAAAGUUUUGAACUAUGAUCUUUAGGUAUUGUUUGUGCAUAUGACUUUUGUAGGAUAGGGAUUCAAUGAAAUUUCAAACUAUGUAAAAAAGUUAAAAGGGGUUAAUCAAACGAGUAAGGAUAAAAAUUAUCUAAGAAGUCGCAAAUAUUGAAAAUUUCAGUGGGUCUUACUCUGAGGGCCACAAUCAUUCAACUUAUCCUAUUUAGUUAGCCUUGCUAGCUUCUAUUGUGGUUCCAUCUAAGGUUUGUUCUCAACAACAUACUGUUAGGAGAUAAGGGGCUUCUUACUCAUCUAUAAAUCGACCUUCUCUCAAGUGAGGGUAUUUAUAUUAUGGUAUUUUUGUCCAAUUUAAAGGGAAGUGUCCUGUGUGGUAGGCAAAUGCUCAAGUACAGCAGCAGACUUCGUCUAAAGUUCCAGCAGGUGGAUGAGAAAGAGGUAGCGACAGUGGUCAUCCACAAGGUGGGUAGGAAAAUCAGACAGGUGGCCAGGUUUGUCGCGAAAAUAGCAGCGCAGGAGGAGGAGCACAGCCAGGGAAGGAUUUAGCUCAAAUUAAUAAUUGGGCUCAUUAUUAUGCAUUUCCAAGAAAGGUUGAUGUCGAGGAUUCUAAUGCGGUGAUCAUAAGUUUUAUUUUUGUUUGUGAUAUAAUGGAUUUUAUUUUAUUUGAUUUGGUUUCUACUUAUUCUUAUGAAUCUGCUUAGUUUAUUGUGGGGCUAAAUUUGGUUUAUAAUGUCCUUGGUUAUCCUAUUUAUGUGUCUACUCUGGUUGAUGAAUCUAUGGUAGUAACCCAUGUUUACCAUUCUUGCCUUGUAUUAUAUAUGGAUUUUCAAACUUGGGUAGACUUGAUUAUUCUGGAUAUGUUGUACUUUGAUGUAAUUUUAGGUAUGACUUGGUUAGGUAUGACUUGGUUAUCUCUAUAUCACAUUGUUUUAAAUUUUAAUGCUAAGACAGUGACUCUAGUUAUGUCGGGAAUGUGUAAUCUAGGGUGGAAGGGAGAGUAUAAGGCCAAGCCGGUGAAGAUUAUAUCAUUUUUCUGGGCCAGAAGUUUGGUAGGAAAGGGAUGUCCAACAUUUUUAGCUCAUCUCCAGGAUGUAAGUGCGAGGUCUCAUUCUAUAGGGUCAGCUUUGGUAGUUUCCGAAUUUCAAGAUGAAUUCUCUUCAAACCUCCCCGAUAUAUCUUCAAAUAGAUAUAUUGAUUUUUGUAUUGACUUAGAGUUGGGUACACGCCUAUAUUUAUUCUUCCUUAUAAAAUAACUCCAGCAGAGUUGAGAGAUUUUAAGACUCAAUUAUAGGAGCUACUUAACAAGGGUUUUAUUUGUCCAAGUGCUUCACCUUGGGGUGCUCUGAUCAUUUUUGUUAAAAAAGAAAUAUGGUAGUUUAAGAAUGUACACUGAUUAUAGAUAGCUGAAUAAAGUUACUAUUAGAAAUAACUAUUAUUUUCCUCUCAUAGAUGAUUUGACCAGUUGUAGGGUGCAUUAGUGUUCUCAAAAAUUAAUUUACGAUCAGAUUAUCAUUUGUUGAAAAUUAGACCAAAGAAAGCUUUUAGAACUCAGAUGGUUUUAUGAAUUUCUGGUGAUGUUUUCGGGUUGGCUAAUGCACUUGCAGCCUUAAUGAGUUUGAUGAACGGGAUCUUUAAUUCGUUCUUGAAUUCUUUUAUUAUUGUCUUUAGUAAUGAUAUUCUUGUCUACUCCAAAAGUAAAAAAAAAAUAGCAUUUAGGCCAUAUUCGUACAGUCUUGGAGAUUCUAAGAGAGAAACGGUUAUUUGCUAAGUUUUCAAAGUGUGAAUUCUGGUUGUCUUUAGUUGCCUUCUUGGGGCACGUCGUUUCUGAAAAAAGGGUGAUGGAGGAUCCCCAGAAUAUUGAGGUAAUUAAUAAUUAGAUUUAGCCUAGUUCAAUGAUCGAGGUAAGGAGCUUUGUAGGUCUUGCUAGUUAUUGUCACAGAAUUGUUAAGAACUUUGCAUUCGUUGCAACACAAUUCACAAUGUCGAAUCAAAAAAAAAUGUUAUUUGUUUGGUCAUAUAAAUGUGAAGAGAUAUUCCAAAAUGUCAAGACACCCUUGACUAAGGCACCUAUCCUUUCAUUGUCAAUUGAAGGUACGGACUAGUAUUUUGCAAUGCUUCACUUUUGAGUUGGUUAUUGUGUUGAUGCAAGAUAAAAAUUUCAUAGCUUAUGGUUCGAGGUAAUUGAAACCUCACGAAAUGAUCAACCCAACAUAUGACUUAGUGUUGGUAGGAAUGGUAUUUGCAUUAAUGGUCUAGAGACACUAUCUUUAUGGUGUCAAGUGUAAGGUCUUCACUAAUCACCAUAGACUACUACACGUAUUCACUCAAAGGGAUCUGAAUCUAAGGCAACGAAGGUAGAUGGAAUUGUUGAAGGACUAGGAUGUAACUAUUCAGUAUCAUCCGGAUAAGGCUAACAUAGUGGCAUAUGCAUAGACUGGAAAAUAAGUAAGUAUGAGCAUUUUAUCAUCCUAGAGGAUAUCCAUCCUACCACUAGCUAGAGAGUUAAAAACUCUAGCAUCUUUGAGAAUAUAGUCUGGGGUCUCAAACAGGGUUAAUGUGUUGGCUAGUGUUGAGGAAAAGUCAACAUUAUCAAAUUAAGAACAAGCAAUUUGAAGAUGAGAAGUUGAAUAUAUUUAGAAGUAAAAUGGUGUAGAGAGGUGGUGAACGUCACUCUAGAAGUGAGUAGGGUGUUAUGGUUUAAGGAAAGAUUAUGUGGUCCUUGGGUCGGAGAUUUGAUUUGCAAUGUGCUUUCAGAGGCCUAUACUUUGCUUUAUUAUAUUUAUCCUGGUGCGAUCAAGAUGUACCGUGACUGGAGAUAACUUUAUUGAUGGCUCGAGAUAAAGAGGGAAAUAGUAGAUUAUGUGCCCAAGUGUUAGAACUAUCAGUUGGUAAAGUAUAAGACUAUCAGUUGGUAAAGUAUAAGCACUAACGUCCAGCGAGGUUACCUCAGAGGAUGCCUAUAUCUAUGUAGAAGUAGGAUCAUAUUGCUAUGAAUUUUGUGGUAGGUGUCGCGCCCCGUUUUCCUCGCAGAAAGCGAGAUUCGACGUGAUCACUCCUUUUGAGAUUGUUUGAAAGAUGAAUGUGAAAAGUCGCCACCUAACAAAUUAAGAAUAUAAUUGUUCAAAGAGUGAUUUAAAGUGCUAAGAAUAUCAUUUGUAAUGUGUCCACGAUUAUUAAACAUGCGAGAAUCAAUAUACAUGUUGUAUAUUAAGUUGUCAUUUCCAAAUGCGAUUUAACAAGGCGGAUAUUAAUUAAACUCCUAAAAACAUGAUUUCUAGGUGGAUCAACUAAUAAGUCGUAAAUUAGAUUUGCCUAGAUAAUAAAUUAACGAAUUCUAAGUUUGUUUGCCUAAAUGGUUCGCGUAGCACAUACAUACAUAAUUCUCUGCCCCCGAGCAGUCCCAUGAAUAUUAUUACAUCAUUACAUGAGUGUUCAUACAAUAUUACGGACCAAAAGGGGAGAAUUAAACUAAAGAAAAAGAAUAAUGUAGUCCCUCUCAACCCCGAGCGACUCUUCAAUUCCCAAACCUGUAACACAAUGAACCUGUAACACAAUGACAUAGCAUGGCAAGCACAAAGAAACGAACGAAACUAUUGCGGCAUAAUUUCAAACACACAAAAAAAAAUCAAACAAUGACAUAGCAAACAAAAGAGUUUGAUACAUAAAAAUGACCUUAAACUUGACACCUAAUUAUAACUUUGACCUUAAACUUUGAUAGUGCACAAAUAGGACCUUUAACUAUUCAAAAUCUGAACAAAUAUAACCUCCGAUUUUGCAACCCAUGCGUGAGUCUCACUCGCGCCUAUGUGGAAAGGUAAUCCAAUCACACGGUGCCACAUCGUUAAAAGGGCUGACUUGGAGAGAAAACAUAUUUAUGCAAUUUUGAAAAGUUAAAGGUCAUAUUUGUGCACUGUCAAAGUUUUGUUUUUUUGUAUUAAAACGUCAUCGUUGUCGUUGUUGUUAUUAUUAAUUAUUAUUUUAUUUAUUUAUUUCUAUAACAGCGGCACCUAACUUUUUUUAAUUAAAAAAAAAGCGAAAUCAAACCCGCACAGUAAGUUGAAGGAAGCGCCCAAGAAAAGCAAAUAACACAACUGCUAUCUAAGUGUCUUGUUUCAUGUGGUUCAACAUUAAUAUAUGUACAUAAAUAUACAUUUUCUAUCUUAUAUAUAUACAGCAUAAUUUUUUUACCGAGAGAGUUCGGAUGAACCCAUGGAGAUCCGCCCCUCGUUAAUUUAAUAACAUUUUAAUAACGUUAAUUUAAUAAUAUUUUAAUUACGUUAAUUUAAUAAUAUUUUAAUUAUGUUAAUUUGAUAAUAUUUUAAUUACGUUAAUUUGAUAACGUUAAUUUAAUAUAAUACUACUACUAACCUUAAUAACAUUAAUUUAAUGUUUUAUUAAAACUAUAAUUUUUUUAUUAUUAGUAUAGUUUCAUCUUUAAUUUAAUAUUUAAAUAAAUAAUAUUUAAAUAUAUUAUAUAACUUAAAUUCGUCAUCUGUUUUAUAAUAUAUAUAUACAUACCCUCUCAAUUUUUCACAUGAAGCUAACCCGCCUAAUUAAUAAAUCUUCAAUAUUGCUCUUUUUCCACAAUGACAAAAGAAAUUAAAUAUCAUUUUCAUCUUUGAGCCGAAAAUAAUGAAAAAAUAAUAGUGAAGUGCAUUUUUGAAUAGCUAAAGAUCACAUUUAUGCACUGUCAAAGUUAAGAUCAUAUUUAUGUAUUAUGUCCUUAGAUUUUAAGUUGAAUGCGCCCAAUUUUACAUGUUAAACACGCGUAUUGUCACGUAGGAUUAAAGGUCAUAUUUGUGCAGAUUUGAAUAAUUAAAGGUCAUAUUUGUGCACUGUCAAAAUUUAAGGUCAAAAUUAUAAUUUGGUGUCAAGUUUAGGUCAUUUUUAUGUAUUAACUCCAAAUAAAACAUCAAACAAUUUCCAUGAACAUGCUUUCUAGUCUCAUCACAUAAUAUAUUGAAUUGCAUCGAUAAGAAACUUACCAAUUGAAGAUUACCAAUAGUAAUAGGAAAAUGAAGCAGCACAAAGUUAAAGUAUGAACCGUUGCAGGUGAAGUCAAGACCAAUUCUCCAAUAUUAAAUGCAAAUUUAAAAUAUUUAAGUGAUUUUGUUAUCUAAAGAAUAUUUAAAGCUUUUUCGUGCAAUGUGUGUGAAGAGUUGAUAAAAAUGUAGAGUGUCUGUUACUAUAGUGUGAGAGCUUGUCCCUUUGAAAAAUAAGGGGUUCUUUAUAUAGCCAAGUAGUGUAAGAUUAUAAAAAUAGCAAAACAAUAUUCUCGUCAAUCAAUUAAGUGAAAAUUUCUCUUAAACGAAUAACUGAGACCAAUCACAUACACAACUGCUAUCUAAGUGUCUUGUUUCAUGUGGUUCAACAUUAAUAUAUGUACAUAAAUAUACAUUUUCUAUCUUAUAUAUAUACAGCAUAAUUUUUUUACCGAGAGGGUUCGGAUGAACCCAUGGAGAUCCGCCCCUCGUUAAUUUAAUAACAUUUUAAUAACGUUAAUUUAAUAACAUUUUAAUUACGUUAAUUUAAUAAUAUUUUAAUUACGUUAAUUUAAUAAUAUUUUAAUUACGUUAAUUUGAUAAUAUUUUAAUUACGUUAAUUUAAUAACGUUAAUUUAAUAUAAUACUACUACUAACCUUAAUAACAUUAAUUUAAUAUUUUAUUAAAACUAUAAUUUUUUUAUUAUUAAUAUAAUUUCAUCUUUAAUUUAAUAUUUAAAUAAAUAAUAUUUAAAUAUAUUAUAUAACUUAAAUUCGUCAUCUGUUUUAUAAUAUAUAUAUACAUACCCUCUCAAUUUUUCACAUGAAGCUAACCCGCCUAAUUAAUAAAUCUUCAAUAUUGCUCUUUUUCCACAAUGACAAAAGAAAUUAAAUAUCAUUUUCAUCUUUGAGCCGAAAAUAAUGAAAAAAUAAUAGUGAAGUGCAUUUUUGAAUAGCUAAAGAUCACAUUUAUGCACCGUCAAAGUUUAAGAUCAUAUUUAUGUAUUAUGUCCUUAAAUUUUAAGUUGAAUGCGCCCAGUUUUGCAUGUUGAACACGCGUAUUGUCACGUAGGAUUAAAGGUCAUAUUUGUGCAGAUUUGAAUAGUUAAAGGUCAUAUUUGUGCACUGUCAAAAUUUAAGGUCAAAAUUAUAAUUUGGUGUCAAGUUUAGGUCAUUUUUAUGUAUUAACUCCAAAUAAAACAUCAAACAAUUUCCAUGAACAUGCUUUCUAGUCUCAUCACAUAAUAUAUUGAAUUGCAUCGAUAAGAAACUUACCAAUUGAAGAUUACCAAUAGUAAUAGGAAAAUGAAGCAGCACAAAGUUAAAGUAUGAACCGUUGCAGGUGAAGUCAAGACCAAUUCUCCAAUAUUAAAUGCAAAUUUAAAAUAUUUAAGUGAUUUUGUUUUCUAAAGAAUAUUUAAAGCUUUUUCGUGCAAUGUGUGUGAAGAGUUGAUAAAAAUGUAGAGUCUGUUACUAUAGUGUGAGAGCUUGGUCCCUUUGAAAAAUAAGGGGUUCUUUAUAUAGCCAAGUAGUGUAAGAUUAUAAAAAUAGCAAAACAAUAUUCUUGUCAAUCAAUUAAGUGAAAAUUUCUCUUAAACGAAUAACUGAGACCAAUCACAUACAAAUCACAGUUCAGAGAAUAAAAAGGAAAACUAAUAUUUAGAAGUAUCAUCAACAAUAUUAUUUUCGUUAUUUAGCUAGACGAAAUCAAUUAGAAGCAAAUUUGCCAUAAAUAAGUAAAAAAAAUCAGUUCAACUUUUAAAGGAAACCAAGAAGUGGGUAAAGCAAAGCACCAAUCAACUAUAAUAUCAUUCAUUUAUUUUUUCCUCAAACAAAUAGACAAAAAGAUCUGUCAGCAAGUCAAUUUCAUAUAAUUUAAGCUAAUUAGUAUGGAGAAAAAAUCUAAUUUCUCAUAACUUUCCCAAAAUCUAGCAAACUAAUUUAAAUCAUAUUAUAAUUAGCUACCAAAACAACACACAUAAGAAUGACCACCACAAUUCAAAUACGGUGAGACGAAAGACAGACAAAUCAGAAUUGAGAACUUUGUAAUUAAAAGUAGAAUUAGGGUUCCAAAGCAACUUAGGAAACUUAAGCUCUGCGCGUAUGUCGACCUAAAGGUGUUUAAAACUAUGAAAUUGAAACAUGCAGACAAUCAAUUAUGUUCAAGACAUUUACGAAUUUCACGACUCAAAAUUUGUCUAAGAAAGGUGACAAAUAAGCACAGUUUUGCAAUCAUUACAUAUAGAGAUGAAUUUGAAAUAAAAUCAGCAAAAGAACCUUGAAAUUACAUAACUGUUGUUACUGACGUCUCCACCGGUCAUCAACUCCGGUGAAGACGGCGUUGGAGGUCAUCGCUGGUUCGGGCUUUUCCGUCGUCUGGCAGCAGCAAUGGAGGUUUCAAGGCAGCGAUGGCUAUUUUGACGGAAACGAGAGAGAAGACAGAGGUGGCCGGCUGGCGGCGGCUUCUUUGACUGGUGGCUGGUUAGGAGAUCGUCGGUGGAAGGCGGAGUUGGAGUGGGAAGACGCUGGUGGUUUUUGGCUGUUCUAGCGGGAGGUUCACCAGUGACGGAGGGAGAUCAAGGGGAGAGAGGUGACGGGUGGAGGCUGUCCGUUGUUGUGGUGAUUUAUCGGAGAGGGAGGGACAGUGGAGACCGGAGCGGCGCUGGCGCUAAAUCACCGGUUGGUGUUGACGGCGGAGGGUGGCUUUGCAUGGUUGGUUUGGCGGACUGGUCGCGGAGAUGGCGGGGUGAGGCACAGAGGUUGGCGACGGCGGCGCUGGCUCAAGAUUUUCCGGAGGAGGAGGACGAGAGGGGGAAUAGGGUGAGGGAAGGCUCGCCGGCCCUGGGAUGGCCGGCGGCAGCCAUAGACGCCGAUGGAGAGGAGAGGAGAGGAGAGGAGUAGAGAGCGAAGAGACGUAGAGAGAGAGAGUUAGAGAGAGGAAGGAGGCGCAUGUUUUUAUUUUGGAAACUUCGGUUAGGGUUUGGAUUUUCCAUUAAAAGGAAAGGGAGAGAAUGC